rnacentral:lncRNA from 1 species
UUAAUCAUGAUCAAAGCUCUGGGUUAUAUAAUUAUGCACGUACAAAGAAUUGGUUUUAUUUGACUGAGAGAGAGCUUAAUCAAAGCUCAUCAAUUCCCAAUAAUCAAAACCUAAGACAAACCCACGACUUGGUGGCUUGAGAGAGAGAGAGAGAUGUCAUCGACUGACAUAGUGGAGGUGUAAUCAGAAAAGCAAUACGGGCAAAAAUGAAAAUAUUAUAAUACCUUAGAUUUUCAUAUCAAUUUUCUUUGUUUUAUUUCCGGAAUUAAUGAAGGAUUAUUUGUGGAAAUUCUUAGUUGGUUUUGCGAAGUUGAAGUUUUGGAAGUUUAUUUUAAGGUGUUUGUUUUAAGUGGUCAAAAAGUUGACUUUAUUUUCCGUAAGUUAUUUUCGAAAACUUCCUUCAUGAAAGUUGUAGAGUUUGUCGAUACGAGUUCGUAGACAUGUGGCAUGCUUGAAACGGAUGUCGUAUGAGAAAGUUAUGGUCAGAAGAAGUUAGUUUCCGGUUUUGGGAAGAGUAUAAGUAGAAAAAUGUGUGGGAGUAAUUUUUGGAAACCCUAUAAUUGCAGCAGCCCAGUUUCAGUUCUCUCUCCUCUCUCCCGACCCUCCCACACUCUCUUUCUUCUCCGGCUGAUUUCUCCUCUGUUCGGCCACCGAUUUAGGCGCUGCCGGUUCCGUUGGAUUCGUAUGGACGUCCUCUUCAUUUCUGGGGCAGUCUCGCUUGCUGUCUCGUCGCCUAGAAGCCGCCAUGGAGCGGCGGAGCUGCAGCUGUCUCACCGGAAAACCAACGAUUUCGGAGACAACGAGGGGCUAACUUAGGUGAGUUUGGUUCCUCUCCUCCUUCUGGUAGUGGCUAGGCAUAGAUUGAAACAAGUUUUUGAGUUCUUGAGCCCCGAAUUUGCAGAUUGAAGGUUGAGUUCGUGGUGGUGUUUCGGGGAAUUUUUCGGCCGUUUCCGGUCAAAAUUGGUUGAAACCUCAGGUAUUAAAGUUGCUCUCAAUCUACAAGUUUCAUGUUGAGAGUUUUCCUAAUUUUUGAAGUUGGGGGUGGCUCGUGGGGCUCACUCGCCGCCGUCUUUGGUGGCGUGUGGGGGCGCGUUCGAGAAGUGUGGGGGCUUUGGUUGCCGUGUUAGCAAGUCCUUGUUAGUUACUAGUGUGUUGACGUGUGUGAAGGCUAAGUGUCGUUUUGGUUUUGGUAGCUUAUGUGCUAUGUUGUUCUUGGUGUUUAUUAGGUCAUAAACUUUGAAAGUUUGAUCUUGGAGGUAGUAUGGUUUGUUGGUUGAGUGUCCAAUGACCUUGGGAGGUCUUAGAGGAUGGAUUGCCCUUCCUUGGGCAACCUUUAGGUUAAAGGUACUUUGUUCCUUGUUGAGAAUUUACUAAGGUUAUUAAUGGUGUUAAAUAGGUAGCUUGUGGAGUAGAUAUUUGAGCUUGGCUCUUGAGUUUAUUGUGAAGACGCAGCGAGAUUUAAGGUGAGUAACAUUUCACCAAGGUUCACUUUGGGACCAAUUAUUUAUGGUUAUCGUGAUAAUGAUUAUGAUGAUGAUUGUGAUGAUGAUUAUGAUGAUGGUUAUGAUGAUGAUAAUGAUUAUGAUUAUGAUUAUGAUGAUUGAUUUUGAUGAUGAGGAUGAUGAUGAUGAUAAUUAUUAUGACGAUUGAUUUUGAUGAUGAGGAUGAUGAUGAUGAUAAUGAUUAUGAUGAUUGAUUUUUGAUAAUGAUUUUGAUGAUGAUUAUAAUUUAAAAAUUAUGUUUUUGUUUGUUUUAAAAUAUAUGAGCUUGAUCGCCAACGGCUCAUAGGUAAGUUAAAACAAGUUUUCUUAUUAUAUGAUUAUUUUUAAGGUUCAUGUGGUCAUAAUGUUUUUGGUUAUUGAUAGAUGAUUCUUGUGCGGAUAUUUAGGUUUGUUCAUAUAAAUAUAUCUAUGUGGAAGGAUAUAAAUUUUAUGAUGUGCUCAUCGUGUUGAUUGAUGAUAAUUUUAUUAUAUUGUGGUGUGUGGUUUAAAUGGUCAAACCGGGUUCUAAACAUUUAAUCGGGUGAUUGGUUACAGUUAUGAUGAUUCUACCCUUAUAUGAAAUGUUGUGUAGAUAGUCAAACCGGGUUCCAAGCCUUUAAUCGGGUGAUUGGUUACGGUUAUGAUGCUAUUAUUAUUUUGUGUUUGAUAUUGGACAGUCAAACUGGGUUCCAAGCCUUUGGCCGGGUGAUUGGUUACGGUUAGGAAUAAAGCUCUAGUCUGUCUGUCGGUGUAGGUCAUGGGAGGUACCUUAAGGUAUCUGGGACCCAUGAGUACAUAAAUUGUUGUUGUAGGUCAUGAGAGGUAUUUAUUAAUAUCUGUGACUCAUGGGUACAUGUGUUUGUUGUAGGUCAUGAGAGGUAUUUAUUAAUAUCUGUGACUCAUGGGUACAUGCAUAUUGUAAAAGUAUUGGUUAUGUGGUUUUAUCAUUGUUCUUAAUUGUUGUCAUUUAAAUUCUUUGUUUUGAGUAUCUCCUGAACUAUUGCUUAAUGCAAGAGAUUCUUUAAUUUUAUUUGUGAAUUGUUGUGUUUUCUUAUUUACUCUCUUUUGAAUUUUAUUGUUUUGAGGCGAUUCCUGAACUAAGUUCUCAAGCAGGAAUUACCGGUCUUAUCUUAUAUGAUGUAGGGUUAAGAUUAUUUUUGAGAGUUACUCAUACGAGCUUUUUAGCUUACCGGGUUUGUUGUUUACAACCCGGUGCACCAAUUCCUGGUGUAGGGGUUAGACUUGCAGGUGAUGAUCAGCAAGGUUGAGGCGGAGGCAUAGUGGCAGGAUUUUAGUUUCUGUGCAUUUUAUCUUAUUUUAUUAUGGCAGUUUGUUUGUAAGCUCAUACGAGGGUCCUUAUUUUACUAGACUUUUGAAGUUAAUGUAAAUAAGGAGAUGUAAUGUUUAACUCAGUCGAUGAGCUUUUUAGCCAAUUUGCUACCCUAACUUUCACUGUGGUGUCAGUUUGCUACCCUAACUUUUUUUUCUGCCAUUUUCCUACCCUAACUUUCAUAAAUUAGCUGAAUUGCUACCCAACCGUCAAAUCGUCCAAUUCCUGUUAUGUUUUCCGUCCAGUGAGGGGUAUUUUUGUCAUUUAAUUAAAUAAAUUGAUAUAUCUAUAUUUUCAAGUUAUGGAUGAGACCCUAACAAAAAAAAAAAAACACUUAUACAUGGGACGAGAAAAAAAAAAACUGAUAUCAUUCAAUUCAAUCCAUGAUCAUACUCAAAAUUAAACAAAAAACAUCACAUUGUUUUAUUCUCACAUGUUUGAGAAUAAGAUCAAUGAACCUACACAAAAAUAGUCUCUACAUAAGAGGCCUAUAAUUAUAUGUUUUUUAUCCCAACUUGGAUAUCACAAAAAUGGUCACCCUAUCACUAGAUUUUGAAGUUUCAUGAACUCUACGGCCUCCACGGCCCUGAUGGUGUACCUACUGAAGAGUGUGUAGUUAUUGGAGCUGUAUAUUGCCUUGGCACUGGCCUCACAUGGCCUCCUCGAUUUACCUAGUUCAAUAUACACACAUAUAUAAAUCAAUGAAAAUAAAUACAAGAAACAAACUAAAAGCACCAAUCAAACAUGAAAGAAGCAUUGUCAUACCUCCCUACUAGCUGCUGUUGAUGGUACAUGAUAUUCUUGUUGAUUCAGUCCACUAUUUUGGUUGCCUCUACCUCGAUCCUUUGCCAGCUCCACCUCCUCUGUCAGCUCCACCUCCUCGCGCACCUCCUCUGCCAGCUCUACCUCCACACAUACCCUGCCCACAAAUAUACAAUUUUUUUUUUUUACAAAGAUCAAAUAAACAUUUCUAAACAUGCAUUAUUAUAGAAAGAAAUUUGGUUGGCUUCAGUUGGUGUACUCACUUGAGUUUGUGUUCUUGAGGUCACAUUAGCUUGAAUUGGUGUGUUGGCUGGUGUUGACGUGCUCGCUUGAGUUGGUGUUUGUGAGGAGAGAUUACCUUGAACUUGUUCAACCAAAUUCUGAACAUGCAUGAAAUUAGCAUAUAAUUAUAAAGCCAUUUCAGAAACUUUUAAACCCCACAAAAAAGUACACAGUAAUUAGAUGUGUUCAUAUAUAACUANNNNNNNNNNNNNNNNNNNNNNNNNNNNNNNNNNNNNNNNNNNNNNNNNNNNNNNNNNNNNNNNNNNNNNNNNNNNNNNNNNNNNNNNNNNNNNNNNNNNUUAUUGAACUUGGAAAAGUUUAAGGUUUCAAAAAACAUACCUUUCUAGAGGCUGCCGAGAGGAGAAAUAACGUUUCGCCUACUUAUACUUCGAAUUUAGGGCUGAAAAUUUGAUAGGAGGAGCAGCACUGGAUGGGGAAGCUGCUGUCAAAAUUUCAGGUUGAUCGGAGCAAGGUAAGGUGGUGAACCGGUGGUCGGUAGCGGCGGCGGUCUGGAAUCUUCCGGCGGCCGGUUCGGAGACUUUCCGGCCGGUUCUCAGGGUGAGACCGGCGGCGUUGGAUCCGGGGCGGAGAGAGCUUUCUGGGGAUAUAAAAUUCCGGCGGAGGGCAGUCGGAAUUUUGGUCGGAAAUUGGGAAAAACAAGGCUGCCCGAUUUUAGGGUUUUGGUUUUUAGGGUUUAGAAAAAAAAUGGUGGGCUAUUGGCUCUAGGAUUAGAACACAGUGCAUGAUAACGUGAUAAAGGAUAAAGUGUAGAGACAAAGAGAUAGCAAGAGAGUCAUCAUCUUAUUCAUUGAUAGGAGCCCUUUAUAUAGGGAAUUAUACAAUACCAAUAUGGUAAGGAUAUGAAUACAUAGAUCUAGUCUAACUACAUAUCCUAUUGGCAUAAGGCCAAGACACACAUAGAGAAUAUUCUAAAACAAAGUUGAGAUUAUGAGAGUAGAAGGGGUGGUAUAAGACAUUCAUCUCGACCAUUUUCAAUUUUCGACAUGAAACGAGCCCGACACGGCCCUUUCACGGCCCACCAUGUUAUGGGCUUGGGUCGUGGGUCUGGUUGGGCCUUACAUUUGAGUAAAUGGGCCGGCCUAAGCCCGAGCCCGUUAAGAAGUGGCCCGUCGUGGACCGACCCAAACACAGCCGAAAACCCGAUUAGGCGGGCCAGGCUGGGCUGGGCUAGGCAGGGCCGGCCCGUUUGCACCUCUACCUGCUGUGGUGUUAUUCACUUUCGGGGGAUUGGCAGUACCAGAUAUGUUGUUGGCAAGACACAAGAGUUGCAUUCCAUUCAAUGUUAUCUCGUGGAGUUGCCCCCAAUGCAUACACAUAUUCUGUUCUCAUCAAGACACGCCAAAGACGCAGACUUCAUUGGUGAUGCCAAGAAGUACUUGCUGGAAAUGGUUGACAAUGGAAUGAGGCCCAAUGCCGAGACUUGCAAAUCUGUGCUCGAGGCAUUUGCUCGGGCGCAAAAGAUGGAGGAAUGCGGGGAAUUAUUGAAUGUGAUGAAGGGUAAGGGCUUUGUGAUAGAUUGACAGCUCAAUCCAUUUGCUCUACAUGAAUUCAUCACUAUUAUAAGAAGAGUUAGAAACUCAUUGCUCGGCUUUUGUGUUUCCUCGUAUGAAUUAGGAUAACUGUUAUGUUAAUUUGAAGAUAUGGUUACUUUAGUGCUGUGCUGAAUUGUAUCUGAUGUCUUUAGCUUCUGGAUCUAUGCUGCUUAUAUUGUGUGCUUGCAGCUAUAACUAUAAACCAAAAAUGUGCUUGUGAAAGCCAAAAUAUAAAAACAGAGUACCUUAAUUCUUGACCAGAAUUCAGGACUGGUUAAUAUGAUUUUGGCGUGGAUUGUUCUGUCAAUGACAUGCUAUACAUACUCUUAACAAUCAUAAGAACAAGAAUUUAAUUGCAUGUUGCUGCAAGUAUCUUCAAAUAAUUUUUUGCAUUACAAAAAGUUACGAUCACAUAGCACUGACAAAUGUUUCAAGUCUUUUUGUUGAUUUAAACUAAAUGCAUGCCACUCUGAAUUUACUUAUAUAUAUACACACACACUAACGGAUGGUUAACUGUUCAUAUCAUAAACAUAAGCAUAUGAACAGUGAUNNNNNNNNNNNNNNNNNNNNNNNNNNNNNNNNNNNNNNNNNNNNNNNNNNNNNNNNNNNNNNNNNNNNNNNNNNNNNNNNNNNNNNNNNNNNNNNNNNNNNNNNNNNNNNNNNNNNNNNNNNNNNNNNNNNNNNNNNNNNNNNNNNNNNNNNNNNNNNNNNNNNNNNNNNNNNNNNNNNNNNNNNNNNNNNNNNNNNNNNNNNNNNNNNNNNNNNNNNNNNNNNNNNNNNNCUGGGUAUAAUUUGCAUGUAUAACAUUCUAUGAAGUACAUAUCAUAAACAUUUCUAUCAAUCAAUUAACCCAUUGACCAGCUUCAUAACGUUAUUUUUGGAUAAAGUAAUUUUAAUGUCCAUAGAAAUUUUAAAGUCAUGGGAAUUACAAUUCCAUGAAUUUAAAUCCUAUUAAUUGAGAAUUUCAUUGUUUAAAUUUCAUGAUGUGUCCAUAGAAAUUUCAAAAUCAUAAGAAUUACAAUUCCAUGAAUUUAAAUCCUAUUAAUUAAGAAUUCCAUUGUUUAGAUUUCAUGAUGUAGAGUUUUUAAAUGACAAGAAUUUGUAUUCAGACUAACCUUAGUUAAGGGAAUUGACAAAUGACCUUAUUUUGUGAGGAAUUCAAGUCGGGAAUUUAAGCUCCUAAAUUGCACGAUUAUUUUCCCGUGAAAAUUACUAAUUCCACGGGAUAAGUAUCCAAACGAGGGAAACCGUUCUAAAAAAUUAGGAAUUCCUUAUGUUUGAUUAAAUUCUCAGGAAUUCACCUACAUCCAAACAUACCGUAAAUGUAUACUCCGCGCCGAGGCGCGGGUAUAAUUCUAGUAUCAACCAAUAGACAACGAUAGAUCCAAACAAGCAAUUUUAACGAGGAUAAAUCAUACAUUUACCUUAAAGCAAUUUUACGGAGGAUAAAUCAUAUAUUUACCUUAAAUUCUUGCACGUUACUUUUUAGAAGACCAAAACAUCUCCCUCCAAAAAAUUGUAAUUUAUAGAAAACCCUCUACAUCUCUACAUUCAAAACUGAGUGCCAUCUUUAUGUCAUAUACCCCAAGUCCCCAACACCAUGGUCGCCACCUCCAACUUCCUCACCAUUAAACUUGACCGAACCAAAUCUUCCACACACAAAAACACACACACACACACACAAAAAACCUUGACCGGACCAAUUACUCUCUCUGGCUAGCCCACAUUACUUCUAUAUCUGCUCAAAAGCAGAAACCUCAUGGGUUUUGUUGAUGGCACCGGACCAACCCUUUUCUCUCUGGUUACUUCUAUGUCCUUCCUGCUUCAAGACUGAUGAAGCUGGUCAACUCACCAACGACAUCAACCCUGGUUAUGAGCUGUGGAUCUCACAGGAUCAGAUGGUCCUCGGCUGGAUUAACAAUUCCCUCACCCUGAUCUACCAAUUGUUUCUAUACCUCUACGCCUUGCGUCUCAUUCACGGAAUUGUAUCCUCCAACUCCGAGGAGAGCUCCUUCAUACCAUGAGAGAUAACCUAAGUAUCUCUGAUUUCUGAUAUGAAAACACCAUUAGCUUUGCUCAAGCCAGGGACACCGGACACCCCAAUCACAUAUGAUGCCCUUGAAGCAUCACUUUCGGGUUGCCAACCAGCCAAUGUUAGCAUCUAUGUUCGGUUGCCUCCAUGUUUGGUAAUAUACCCUCCUGUGCAAAGCAGUAGUAUCAAUUUGUAAGCUGAUGUAGUAACAAAAACAAGAAAGCCAUACAUACAAUCUCGCAUAUGUUUACCUUGGAGCAGCAUUUGUGUCCUCGAAGAAUCUCCGUGGCUGUCUCACCAAAGAAAGCAGCAUAGAUACUUCUACCGUAGAAAGGCUUUUUGCCAGGGUUUGGAAUGUUGUGCUUAUCCUUGGCACACCAGAGGUGGAUUUUCAAUAAUGGAUCCAUUGUUUAUUGGUGGAAGAAGAGUGCAGAAGGUUUCCUAGCCCUAGAGUUUGAAGCCGCUAGGGUUUUAAAACUGAGAAGGCAAUAGAGCACGAAACAAUAGUGAAGUUUAAAUAGGGUCUACCGGUCUAGGUUAGUAUGUUCUAGGAUUUGUAGUUGUUUAUAUUCGGUAGGAAUCGUAGAAUCCAUGUUUUGUGGUUCUUGGCCACAUAAUAAUUACUCGGAUGGAAGAAAUCAAGUAGAUCACUACCAGAUAGUAUGAUUUUGCUGGUUAUUUUUCUUGGUUUUUCCAUAUUUUCUGUCAAUUUAUUAAGAAUUCCUUACCUUUUUUCUAAAGGAUAAUUCUGCACCUUUUGAAUAAGCUAAUGGCAGUGAUGAUUUUCUGUUGCAAAUGGCAUUAAUCUUUGAUCCAUAGAAUUCUCAAAAAAUCUUUGAUCCAUAGAAAUCUGUUUGCUUUUGAAUUCUUUACUAAAAACAUUCAUGAAGCAACUAAUAUUGAGCAGCCAAGUAGAAAUGGGUGAUCUUCGCAUCCCUAUCCUAACAUUGUACUGUCAAGAAUACAUCUAUUUUCCCUCAAAAUUAAAAAGUUGAUCUGUUUUCUGAAACAACAGAAACUAAAGAUCGAAUGGAGUACAUUGUUUGAAUUGUGUACUUCAAACUGUCAAAAGAAUGAUUUACCCAUAACAACAAUUCCAGACUUUCAAAAACAUCAAAUGCUCCUACUUAAAUUUAAAAUUCACACCUACUUUUUAUGCAUAGGUAAAAGUAAAACUAUAUUGUCAAACAAAUACAUAUGUGGGAGACCAGUGAAGAGCGCAGUUCAAAACUAAUUCCUAUGAAGUAUGGUUAAAUCUGAUUUUUGUGACUCCCUGGAGGAACGAACAUCUCCCAAUCUCACUGAUCUUCAACAGUCCACAAAACACAUAAUAGUACAAAGCAAUGCACAGAGCAGCAGUAGCAGCCACCUUUAACCGACCAAUGGUGCUGGAAAACUGGUGUUUAAGGAUGCUCAUCUAAUAUCCUUGUUUCUUAGAAGGGCACUCUGAUGCUCUGUGCCCAGACUGCCCACAGUUGAAACAGGAACCUCCAAAGCUUCUGCAAUGCAAGUACAGACAUAAUUUCAGCUUUCUGUAGAUUUGAAAAUCAAUCAUGGAGGAUCUACUACCCUAAUGGUUUGAAUAUCAAACAAUAAGGUCUUUCAAUCAAUGAUAUUAGCCAAUGCACUUAAUUUGUUCACAAAUGAGUUGGUGGCCAACACAUAAUUCUGAUUUUUAGCAAAAAUGAAUUAAAAUCAGGAAAUAAAAUUAAGGAAGGGGAAUGGCCCUUCUGACAGAACAUACAGAGAAACAAAAAAAGUCCCGGAAUUGCCUACAACAAUGUACACUAGAAACUACUAGUGCUGGCUCACAAGUUCAUAACUCUGGAAAUUUUUUGAAAGUGAACUAAAGUUGCAAGCCAAAAUUUAGAAAGACGAUUACCCAUUAGACAUGAAACACAUGUAGAAACAAGUCCCGAACUUCCCAAGAACAAUCUACUAUAAAAAUUGGUAUUGCUGGCUCAUAAGUUCAUCACUCCAGAUUAUUAUGCACUUGUAUAUCCCAAUUGAAUACUGUCAAAGUGAUAUCACAUUCUUCUACUAGACUAAAUGUGAGUGUACCAAAUCAAUGUUUGAUUUGUUAGUCUAUUGGGUUUCUAUUCUUUCAAUGUAAAUUGAAUGAUGAGUUUGAAAUUCUGAAAGCACCUUAUAUUGCAAGAGAAUGAUUUGACUUGCAAAUGACAUACCUGUCUCGGGAUGGUAUUCUGCCUGUUCGUGUACCUCCUAUAAGCCAAUCAUCAUCCAUACUUCUUGUCAUCCGUGGUCGGCUGCUGCUGCUGCUACUUCUAUUAAAACUUCCUCGGCUACUCCUAAAAUCAUCAUCACCAUCACUAAAAUCUCGGCCACCUCCCCAUCCACCCCUAGAGCUGCUUCUAAAACCUCCCCUUCCACCACCACCUCCCCGUCCACCACUAAAACCUCCCCGUCGACUACUCCUGUCCCUAGCUGAAAACCUGCCAUAGUUGUCACUCACUGGACCGUCAUCUUGCAGUGGAGGCAACUAGAAAUACAAAAUAAACAAGCACAUAAGAGCUCAGUUAGUCACUCUUGCGGCAUGGAUAGAGAUUUGGGCAACAUAAAUAUGAAACUGCAAGAGUAAUAAAUCACAUUCUCAUUCAAUAGCUGAUAUUUUUUUUAAAGUACAGGAAAAAAGCUGCACGUAUGAGAAAGAAACCAAAUGCAAAAUUCACCUUGCUUAUCUUGGAAAUACUGUUUCCAGGAGGCAUUUGCCUCUUCAACAACUCUUUUGCAAUCUCCUCUGGAAGAUCAAAAACUGCUCCUUGAACCUGAAAUUAUUACCAUUAAUAUUCAUUUAUAUAAAUGAAGUAUGGCACUCAAAUGAAAUAUAAGAUAUAGUAGAAACAAACCCUUUCAUCUGCAAUUAAAUAUAUUUUUCCAACUUCAUCAGCAGCUGCAGAAUAAACAUCUGAAAGAAACCCAGUGACAGAUCUAGCAGACAGGUAACCUCUGGCAAACUCUGGAUCCCGAAUUAUUUGCAAUGUUGUCCACCCCUGCAAUGUUGUUCAAAUAGUACAAGACAUCAGAGGGAGGCUACAGAUUAUAUCUGGCUUCAAUUAUACAUAUGUGUGUGUGUGAGUCGGAGUGUGCGCAUGUGUGUGUGUUUGAAAAUAAACUGCUGUUACAGAAAAUUAAGUAUUUUUUGGGUACAAUUAAUACCGGCUCGUGACUGAUUAGAGACCGGGAUGACGGAGGUCGGGAAAAUCCACUUAGCUGUGCCAGUGCAGCAGCAAGAGCAGUUGUUCCCUGUUCUUCAAUCAGUUUCUGUGCUGUUGGUGUGAAGAACUUAAUAGACUCAGGAUGAACCCCAUUGAGAGUAGCAACCACAUGUGAAGCAGAUGACUCCAAAACCUCUUCAACUGUUGGCGGAGUAACAAACUCAAACCUGCACCCCACAUCACGCUCAAGAGUUUUGACUGUUCUCCUCUGGUUAUUAGUAAACAUCAGAACGGCAUUUCCGAGUUUCCCUGCACGUCCAGUACGACCAGAGCGAUGUACAAAUGUCUCUGAAUCAUUGGGAAGUUCAUAGUGGAUAAUCUGUAAAGGAAAGAUUAUUCAGAUCACCAAUGUGUUUCAACCUGGGCUCUAGAAUUGGCAAACUUUUCAUGGUGGCAUACAGAAUCAGGAUAUAUAAAUUUUAGGAAUCAAUAUAGCUUACCAAGUCAACGUUGGGAAUAUCAAGUCCACGGGAUGCAACAUCAGUGGCAACGAGCACUGUGAAUUUUCCUUGCCGAAAACCAUUUAGGGUUCUCUCCCUUUGAUGUUGUGAUAUAUCUCCAUGCAAUGCCUCAGAAGCUAUGCUAGUCGUUAAUGACAUUGACACUUCAUCAGCAUCACGUUUGGUUUGGGUAAAAACAAUGGUCUUCCCACCCUUGGCAUAAACCUGAAGAUAUGACAAUAUUUAGUUCUGCAGAAAACGGUCCUUCAAAUAAUUUACAACAGCUAUAAAGAAUCAUAUUAUAAGAGGUAAUGUUAUAACCCUGGAAACAUUAUCUUAUCUUUUUUAUUUUUCAAAAAGAUAUAAUCAAGAGCCAAGUCCACUAUUUCCUACUUCACAUAGAAGGAAGUAAUGGACUUGACUGGCAGAGAUUAAUACACAUCAGAAGUUCCUCAAAAUGAACCACAACAAGACUAAGAUAAUGAUUUCCAACUCUUACUGUUAUAAGAUCACUAAGAAUAGUCCGCUUUGAAGAGUUAGUGGUUGAUAGAGCGUAGAGUUUGAUCCCUUCUGCAAGUUUCUCGUCUUGAUCACCAACCUUUUAGAAAUGAGAAACAGAAAUGUCAGAACUUUAAGAACCACUCUACAAUUAUUUCAGAUUUGUAAGAACAUAAAAAACACAAUACUUAUUAAUUAGUAUUAUCUAUUAUGCAGACUUAGGUCAUACACACUCAACACAUACAACUCCAACAAACUAAAAAUUCUAAAUGGAUAGCUAUAUAACACACAGAUGUUCAUGCAAAACCCCUGCCAUAUUUUAGAAGCAUGUAUCAUGCAAAUAAUGAAAAGUUUCAAACUUGACAAAGCACAGCAAGAAGACAGAAUAACAAAUUACCAAAUCAAUCGUCAAUGGAUUGUCUAAAUAUUUCCGUGCUAGCUUUUUCACCCAAGUUGGCAUAGUUGCAGAAAAAAGCAUGCUCUGCCUCUGAGCUGGAAGUCUUUGUAAAAUUGUUUCCACAUCAUCCUCAAAUCCAACAGCAAGCAUCUGAUCAGCUUCAUCAAGUACCAAAUACUGAACUUCACUCAACUUGAGGCUGCCACCGUUUAUCAGGUCAAUAAGCCGACCAGGAGUUCCAACCACUACAUCAACCCCUCGCGAAAGAGCACUCUGUUGUGUUACGUAGGAGACUCCUCCAUAGACACAAACAGUGUUCAGAUAAGGUGCAGACUCUUUAAUCUCCUUCUCCACUUGCUUUGCCAACUCCCGAGUAGGUGCAAGGACCAGAACUCGAGGAAGAUAACCAGACCGCCUACAAAAAGACACUCAUCAAAAUCUUCACAUUCAAACACUCCAAAGCUCAAAAUUACAAAUAUCUGAGAAACAAAACUAGUACCUUGAACCUCUCUGUUCAUCAUCUUCUGUUAGGCGUUUAAGUAUGGGAAUCCCGAAGGCCAAUGUCUUCCCAGUCCCGGUCUUUGCACGAGCUAUAAUGUCUCUACCUUCCAGUGCAGGCACUAGCACAGCUCUCUAAACAUUUUAACCGAAAUUAAGUGAGUAUUAACCAUGAAAGACACAGCAUUACAUACCUAUAUCAGUCUAAUCACAAUUCAACAAACUAUUCAAAACUCAACAACUUCAAACUAUAGUCAGAGCCACACCACAUACAAACAACACAUAAUCUGAAGGAUAAUGCUAUAAAGUAUUCCGACUCGGACUGAAUUACAAAGCUUUAGAUGGAUAAGAUACCUGAAUGGGAAAAAGCGAAGAAAUGCCACGUCUCUCAAGGCUAUCCACAAGCCGCUGAGGCAAGCCCAAUUUCGAAAGAGCCAGCUCGUCUUUACUCCCCACCGCCGGCUCCGCCACUUCACUCUCCGACUCAUACUCCGACUCCGAGUCUAGCUCCUCCUUUGAAAACCCACCAAGCCCCUUGAAGGCCUCCUCACUGAGCACAGAGUUGGGCGUCGCAAUCGCCUGAGUCGCGAAAACACUCCUCGCUCUCAACACCGUGUUGAAGUGCCCCCUCUGCCUCUCCGGAAACGCCAACGAAACUCCGCCGCUCCUACUGCUCGUCGCCGUCGUCGUCGCCGUUGUGGCGGCUGCUAGAGGAGCGGCAGCUCUUUUGUACAGCUCACAUGGAGUCUGGUAAUAUAUAGACGAAACUCCAAUGAUAGAAGUCAUGAGAUGGCUUGGGUAGGGGUUUACUCAAUUCGCUUCUUACAGUCCUACUUCUUCUUCUUCUUCUUCUUCUUCCCUGCAAAUUGGUGCAGGCUGCUAGAGAGAAGAAGAAAGGGGGGAUAGAGAAGCGGCUUGAGGAUAUUUCUAGGUUUGAAAUGAUAGAGAGAGCGGUGAAGGGUUUAGGUUUUAUAGAGAAGAAGAGGGUGAGGGAGUGUGAGAGUGAGAGGGAAGAUAAGGCCAGAGCAGGAAUGUAUGGCCUCCCAAACUUCCACCUCGGUUAUAUUUUGCUCUCUGAAUAUAUCGGAUAUUUCCCUUCGCGGGUCUUCCCGGUUUGACCUGAUUACCCGCCUCAUCGGGUCGGGUUCUGUAUUUUUCCUUUUCUUUUUCAUUUACUCAUUUGACAUCAAACUGCAAACAUCAGUUCAGGAUUAUGAUUUGUGCUACAAAUGAAUCAAAGAUCCCGAAUUCGGCAAUUGGAUUGGUUGAUGAUUUAGUUUUAAAAAUGGUGUACAUUUUUCUAAAUUAAAUGUUCAUUUGACAAACGAGUCAAGAUAUAUGUAGCUGUUCCGUCGCUAGUUUUGUGACUGUCGCAUGUGCCGUUUACAACUGAAAUACUUGUGACGUGUUAUUGGUCUUGUUGACGUCGGUUAUCUGACCCGCAACUAAAUCGGUUAUGUAAACACUGCGGUAUCUUAGAAGUUUACAAGUUGAUUACUGUCGUUAUUUAUUCUAGUCACGCAUAGAUUAUAGCGUGCGUGUAUACGGUUCAUAGUUACACACAUUAAAAGCAUAUGUAAUUUGAGGUCCACCACAUAUGAACCUUGUAUAUAUGAAGAUAAUGCGACUCUGUUUUAAAAGAAUAAAGGUAAUACAGUUUACAUAGAAAAAAUAAAACUAUAUCUCAUCAAGGACAGCAACAUCAAUAUGUGUCACCUAAAAUCUGUUUAUUUGUUAAUAAACCAAAUAGUACUGGGCGAUUAAGUUUACACUUGAGCAUUUUUUUAAUAUUGUUUUUAAAGAAUUAUAUGGAAAAUAGAAGCUUUUAGAAUAGGCGAGAUCCAACUUAAAUUACGAGGAUUAAAUAAUAACUAACCGACCGAACCUUGAACGUUGUAAAUUGGGGUAAAUACGAAGCAAUAGGCUUUUUCCAACCAACUCCGAAUUCACUCUCUCCCCCAUUAUAUCAUCUCUCCAGGAUAAAAUUUAGGAUUCUAAACACUGAAAAUUGAGGCCGUUUUUCUUAAUUAGUUGUAUCCAGCGCGACUGUGCGAGCUAGCCGCCAUUAUUGGCUUCCCCAAGCCAGUGAAGCAUUUCCCUGUGUUUCUUUCUUCUUCUUCAUCCUUCUCUCACCUUAUCGGUCCCGACGGUUUCACAUCUCGCGGGCAGAUCAGUCUUCGAUUUGGCUUCCUCGAUUCUUCUAGAAUUUCAAAGGUAAAGUCUCAGUCUUCGCUUUCCUUCAAAACCUUUGUUUUCUGGCCAAUUGAAAUUGACAUUUUUUUUUUUUACUGUUCUUCGUUCUCAAUUUUACUCUUAGGGUUUACGAAUUGUCAUACUGCGACUUUUCCCCUCACUCGCUUUCAUGGAAUUUCUGUAAUUCCAAAUAGAGCGAUUAGCUGAAGCCUACAGAGAAUAAUCGCCGCUGCUGAUUCCGAUCAGGUUUUCCUUCAUUACAUAACACUCUUAUUCUAAAAAUUUUAUGAUUUUUAUUGUUGAUGAUGUUGAAUAGAGCUUGUUUUGGGUUUUAGAAUAUUGAGAAUGGCGGAAUCGGUCCCAAUCUACCUGAGCAUUGUUGCCUUUAUCUGCACUGUUGGAGCUAUUGCUUUGGCGGUUUUGCAUAUCUACAGGCAUCUCAUGAACUACACCGAACCGACUUAUCAGAGAUACAUUGUUCGCAUCAUUUUUAUGGUCCCGGUGAGUGUUCGGAUCCGAUAAGCUUGCUCUGAAGUUCUAUGAUAUGUAUGAUUGGUAAUUUGGUAUCAUAUUGAUGUGCAACUAGAUUUGCAUAGUAGUUUCAUUAUUUAUCUGUUGCUGUUUUUUCCCCUUGCAUUGUUAUCUUGUACCUGUCAUCUAGAAAUUGUUAGGAAUGAGUUCUUAAAGAGAAUCUUCAGCAUAAAUGUACGAUGAUGAUGAUGAUGAUAAUACACAUGAUAAGGGGAUAUGCAUUCGUUAGCGUUUUGUCAAGUGUCAAGUAUCUGAUUUGCUUCUGUUCAUUCUAAUUUCUAUGGCCCUUGUUCACCUUUCAGUUUCACAUCAACUUAUUUCUUUCUGCUUUGGGCUUAAGAUCUUUUAGAUGUCACUCUUUCAUAACUCUAGUAUCGUUUGAAUUUGACCUGAGUAACCAGUGUGACCUUUGUUUCCUUGACAGGUAUACGCAUUAAUGUCUUUCUUAUCCCUCGUUAUACCUGCGGGCUCCAUCUACUUUAGUUCCAUCAGGGAAGUGUAAGUAUUUUCUUUUUCAUUUAUGUGAAUAAUUUACAGCAUGUUGUUAAUAUUUUGUUCAUGAGAGAAGUAGGAAACGGUCACUAAAUUUUGGUCUCAGCUUUACCUGCACAUGUAAAAUAUUUGUGGAUGGAUAUUAAUUAUCAGUGUGAUUCCAUAGGUUGAGAUUGUCUCUAGAAAAUAUUAGAGUCGCAGUUUGUUACUUUCAGAUCUCAUAUUAUCCAUCAGCUUUAAAAUACGAUGAUUAGAAUGUUAGGUGUUGUUUUCUACCAAGAAUGCAUAUCAGAAGUAACUUUUGGAUACUUGUAAGUUUUUUUUUGUUUAGUGCUAGUUCCAAUACUUCUGCCAUUGGACUGCACAGCUUUGUGUCGAAUUGACCAAAAUUCAUGCAGCAACAAUCACAGUAGUUCUGGUGCUAAGUACUUUCAUUUUAUUGCACUAAUUUAUAUUCAUUGGGUUGAUUCUGAAUAAAGCUUCUUUAUGAAAAACAGUAUCUUGUCAAAUUAAAUGGUCUGAAAUCAAUUGUUGAUUUGCCAAUGGUGGUAAAAGUAUUAGUGUCUGUUUAUUUCUUGCUGGGUUUUCACAAUCUAUAAUAUCUGAUCGUUUGUUCUCAUGUUAUUAUUAUAUUUUUCUUGUUUCAGCUAUGAAGCUUGGGUCAUUUACAAUUUUCUGUCGCUGUGUUUAGCAUGGGUUGGUGGUCCAGGAUCUGUCGUAAUAAGUUUAACUGGUAGGGUUAUAAAGCCUUCUUGGGCUCUGAUGACGUGCUGCUUCCCUCCCAUACCCCUGGACGGGUGAGUUCACAACCUAUGCUUGAUUUUUUUUUUUGUUCUUUUCAGGAUUUAUCUUUCCCUAGUUCAAAUUCUCAAGUACUAACUUUGAAUUUAGUAGUUCUUGGUAUCUAAGUUGUUAGAUGCAUUCUUACAAAUGUUAACGUUAACCACACCAAUGGCCUGAGCUAUAGGCCAUGUCUCAUUUGGUCUCAUCUUAGAUGCAAAAAGUUGCUUGGUUGACCCGAAGAUGGGUUUACUGUUUAGUUAAGACAGAACUACUGCUAAUUCCUCUGCAUACUUUGUUUCUCCUGCUGGUCUAUCUCUCUCUCCCCAAGAUGUGCCACGGUAGCCUGAAGCAGUUACUAUGUAGAAGAAUAAGCUGCUUCAUUCGUGGAACUUGAUGUAGGGACAUGAAAAGAUCAAGUAUCCAUGAAAUUGGCAAUGUCAACAAUUAAAGAUGCUUUGAUUCAUAACCGAUUACACCUACCAUGCUCAGAAUGGGCCAUCUUGCUGUCCAAUCAGAUUGACCCGGCCCUGGCCUCAUCUCCAGGUGUGCUGCAUGGAUGCCAUGGCAGCCGUCUACCAGGGGAGGAGGAGAGACAAGGGGAGAGGAAGAAAGAGAAGAAUUGGGCAAGAGGAGUGUGAUUAUGCCUGAAGUGACCAAAAUCAACCCAAAUGCCCCUUUGCAAAUUGAACAACGAACAUUGGGAUUUGACCUUACUACAUGUUACAUUCAAAAUUCAGGGCCAUAUGCAACUUAUGAAUUGUGGGUCCAAAAGACACAGUACAACCCAAAGCUUAAGAUCAUUGGUGUAAUUAACCCAUCUUACAAUUUACAACUUGCUUGCAUGAAAUCAGGCCUCUCUAUAUAGUUGGCUGAGUCCCUGCACUUGUCUCUGGCAAUAAUGGGGGUUUGAUGUCUUUCCCAACUAACAUAUGUCAUAGAAUCAUAGGAUUUUGUAUGUUCGAUGAACUCAUAUAUAUCAAACUAUGAAUGCAGGCGUUUUAUACGUAGGUGCAAGCAAGGUUGUUUGCAGUUUGUAUUUCUGAAACCUGCAUUAGCUGCUGUUACUCUGAUACUUUACGCAAAAGGGAAAUAUGCAGAUGGAAAUUUCAGUCCAAACCAGUCAUACCUGUAUCUCACUAUUAUCUAUACAGUCUCAUACUCGAUGGCUCUUUACGCAUUGGCAUUGUUCUAUGUGGCUUGUAGAGAUCUGCUUCAGCCUUUCAAUCCUGUUCCAAAGUUCAUCAUAAUCAAGUCUGUCGUUUUUCUUACUUAUUGGCAGGUAACCUUUCUUCUUUUUACUUUGAAAAUUGAAUGUCGUUAGUUACUUAUUGUUCAAUAUGUUCUCUUAGCUGCACAUGAUUGUAGAUCAUGAUUAUGCAUGAAGAAAGUCGAGAAGCAGUUUGGAUAUAGACGACUGCCUUGGCUUUGUUAUCAAUUUUUCUUUCAAUCUUCUUUCUAUUCACUGGAUGCUGCUUGAAACUUUGAAGUCUGUUGACUUUACUAUGGAAUAGCUAAUAGGCGGGUAGGAUAGUCUAGUGUAUACUAUAUAUUCUGCAGUUGCAAGGAUUACAGAAUCGAAUACUUGCAGAGGCUUGCUUGAGUCGCUAUGCAUUUUAUUUAGGUAUAUUUUUGUUUAGAUAGUCUAGUGUAUUUUUGCUCGAGUCGCUAUGCAUUUUAUCUGUUAUUAAUGCCAAACCUUAUUAAAAUGAACCAUCAUAUUCCCUCCAUAUUAACAGUUGGCUACUUGCAAAUUGACUCCAUAUGUUUCUGAUUCUUUUUGUCUGCCUUUUAGGGUGUGUUGGUUUUCCUUGCUGCGAAGACUGGAUUAAUAAAGAAUGCAGAAGAUGCUGCUCAAUUUCAAAAUUUCAUAAUAUGUGUGGAGAUGCUACUUGCUGCUGUGGGUCAUCUAUAUGCAUUUCCUUACAAGGAGUAUGCUGGUGCUAAUAUUGGUGCCUCUGGAGAUCUCACGGGAAGCCUUGCUCAUGCUGUAAAAUUAAAUGAUUUUUACCAUGAUACUGUCCACCAGGUGAGUCUCUCAAAUUGUUUUUAUUAUCAUAGAUGGUUGUCUUUCUCAACCUUCUUGAUGUUCAGUAUAUUUUAACUCUCUGCAGUUUGCCCCGACUUACCAUGAUUAUGUACUCUACAACUCUUCUGAGGGUGACGAGGGAAAGAGAAAGUAUCGAUCACGCACAUUUGUACCGACUGGUCCAGAGAUGGAUGCUGUCAGAAGGAACAAGAACAUCUUUGGCAACAAGCUAGAUGAGAUACAGCUUUCCAGUCUCUCAUCUUCUAGUACAAGCACUCCCAAUGAUUCUGGCCGGAUGCCUGUGCCUGUGCCACCUCCAAACUCAGAUGCAAUGAACUCUUCCCUGCUCCUUGAUACCUCAAAUUCCUCGUCAGUGCCAUAUGACAUGUCACUUAUCGACUUGGACUUGUCCAGUUAUCCCACAAAGGUUCUUCCAGCAAAUGAAGGCACUAGGUGACUAGAACACUGUGUUAGACAGGUUUGAAGUUCUCCCUAGGAAAGAAGUGUUAACGGUUUUCGGGGCCUUUGGGAAAGCCUCAUGUGCUUAAUCAUUUGGUGAUGCUGGUGUCGGUACCCUCUCUUCAAUUAAAUUCUUCGGUUAAAUCACUUCGUGCACUGUAGUCACAAAUAUUAGGCUUCCCGCUGAAAGCUGUUUUAAUGGCCUGUUAGUUCAGUGUGCAUUGUAGAUAUGGAAUUCUAAUUGUCAUACGUGUUAGAUCACAAUAGGAAACAUGAAAUUGAUACUAUUUCUUUUUUGACAUUGAAGAGUGCCCAUUGGAUUUCAUCAACUUGGUACUGAAGUAUUUUUUUAGUCGCGAUUUGUUCCUGUUUGUAAUCUACUUCUUUUUGUCAAGCAAUGGAACUUCACACAAGAAGCAUAGGAAGGGUGCAGUGUUUUUCUCCUACUCUCCAACACAUCUUUUGCCAGUCACAUAUUGUCAUAUAUGCAUCCAUUCUAUUUGUACCAGUGCAAAUCAAGGAUGUUGUGCUCUAUAUUUCCAUAAUGUUUGCCUGUUAAAUGAUCUGAUUCCCCCGUUUAUGUCAUUAAGGAAUAAGAGUUUGUAUUGCACAAUCCAUCUCUUCUCAUUCCUUGGAAGCAACUCUAUGUCAUGAAUGAUUUGGGCAAACAAUAUCCAUAUUGCUGUGCAGGGUCUCUGAAGCGUGUACAUUUGAUUUUCCUUUGUUAUUGAAAUGAUGGAUCAGUUGAUGAGACUUUGAUAAUUGAUACUGAUAUAUAUUAUUAGAUAACAAGAUGACGAUGCAGGCUGAUACUACUUAAUUUCUGAUAACAACUCCAGGACUAUUAGUGUCUUUCCCUUCCAAUGAAAGUGAAAUGCUUCUGGGUUGUAGAGGAGUCUCAUGACUCUUACUUUUCAAGUUGGCUGCAAUGGUUUAGAAUUUUGGUUACACGGUUUGAUGAGUUGGAGAAGAAUUUUAUCUUUGUAUUAUCUUGAAUGUCAAGUAUCGUCGUCGUAUGACUCUUGGUGCGUCUGCUUUGAACCUUGAGAGUGAGAGGAUUUAGGUGUUGUGAUUUACACGACGACUGUAUGAGAUACAUGAUACAUGUACUGAUGGUGAAACUUGCAUUAUGUACGGGUUGGUUAAGACUAUCUGCUUAAUACUCAUCUAUUGAACCUGUGUUUGGUAUUUGACCUUUUAGAUUGUUAGCCAAUAUUUCUCAUCUUACGCAAGUCCCCUCGUAGCCCUGGCUUAUCUGUAUUAUUGCUCUUGCUGCUUCUCCAAACAACUCAACGCUAGUUUUAUAAUCGGUUUUAAAUCAAGCUCGUAAAUAUCUAUUAAGAAUCUCAUAGAUGAUUGAUUUGUUUUAUCAUGAGUUUUAUCUAUGAAAUUCAGUUUUAGCGGGCUAUAGGGGUAAUGUUCUUGACUUCUUGGCCUCUAGAGCUGUGGUAACCAUUGUUGAAUGUGGAAGAUAGUUUAGUUAGGGACUCUAGUCAAGCUAUGAAAUGAACCUACUGUAGAAUCACACCACUAAGAGUUGUGAAGAGGGGUGAGAUCCAACAUUAGGUGCUAAUGUGGAUCAAUGGCACCCUAGAUUAUCAUAUAACAUUGAUCUGGCAUAUGAGAUACCAGAUCGGGUAGUCUUACAUAGAAAUAUUAUGUCGUUUGACGCUCAAUGUUUAUGAACUUUUUAUCGCUUAAUAUUUAUGAACUUUACAGCUCAAGUUCCGCACUCUUUGUCAGAAAAACUGUAGUAAAUUUGCAAUUAGCUAACUCGAACAUAAGAAGAUUUAACAACCAAUGAUGAUACUGCACGGAUGUAGGAAAUCCACAAUUAGCUAGAAAGUUGAGUUUGAUGGCAUCACCAAAGACUAAACUCCUCAAUUGCCAUGGCACUGUCCAAAGUACAUCAAAGACCUUAGAUGAAGUCUAGAAGUUGAAAAGAUGAAAAUGAAGCACCAGCGUCACGUGACCGUCCAUCAAACCACGUGUUAAAGCAGCUCUAUUAUAUAUAACAUCAUCCUAAUAGAAAAGCCAGAGAAGAAAAGGUUCCCCAUAGCAAUAAGCUAAGCUAAGAAGCUAGUCUGUCUUGGCUCCUGUGGCGGCGCUUUGCUCGCUUGCCAUGUAAAGCAAACACUCAAUGACUUAACCAGCACUUGUUCUUAGAACUUAUACAAAUCCCAAACCCUUUAUAAUAUUUCCUCUUCUUUCUUCUUCGUCCUCCAAAUCUCAUAUCAAACACAACCCUUGAGCCAAAACCUACACACCCUCUCUGUCUCGCUCUCUGUUUCUUCAGGUUUGUAGCACUUCAUGGCCGGUCUGUGGGAUCCCCAUCCGAACCCUACUCUCAGCAGAACCACCUCAACAAGUAGUACUAGUAGCUUUGGCUUUGGUGGGUACUUAAUGGAUCAUCAGAGCAAUACUCAGAGCUGUUAUAACUACGUGAUGAUGGAGAAGAUGGAGAAGAGGCAGCUUUUUCUUAGAAGCUACCAGUUCUGCAGGAAGAAGAGUCUGGCAGAGAAGAUCAAAGGGUCUUUGGUUAAAGUGAAGAAGGUCAUAUGCUUGAGGCUGCGUAAUGCUAAGAAGCUUAGGAAAUCUGUGUGCUUUAGACUCCGGUAUGGAUUCUCUUUCCGGCGAAGAAGACUAUGCCGGCUCUUGAAUUACUACCGCCAUAACAAGAAAUGCGAUAACUCCUAUUGCUUCUGGUAGAACACAACUCCAUGUUAACUACUUGCUUAAUUUGUUAGUUUUUUUUUUCUUUCCACGAAAUUUGUUGUUAUAUCCAUGAGUUGAUUAUUAAUAUACAUGAUGGUGAUUCACUGAUUUGGGGUGAUAUAUAUAUUAUUAGAAACUUGUACAUGUUAUUUUCGAUGUGAGAAUCCCAAAAUAGUAUAAGUGUAUAUAUCUAUGAAAUUGAGAGUUUCAAAGAGAAAAUGGAAUGGAGCCAGACCAUGUUUUCUGGGUUACACACUAUGUUUGAGGUCCAGUUUGGUACCUGAAAUAGUUGUUUUAGCUGGUGUCCAUUGCAACGAGCCAAAUGGGAAGGAAUGAAAUCUGUGCAAAACAUGUUCAAGGUUUGAACUCUCAAGGGAGGGAGGGUGGAAUUUGGAAACCCAAAAAGGUCAAGCAUUUCUGAAUUGAUUCUUUGAAUGAAAGGUAAAGGAGCAAAGAAAAGAAGAAGAGUGGAAGAUGAGAGAGCAGAAAAGUCUUUAUUGGGCAACUGUGACUUUCACACAUUGCAUGCGCUUGGACUGUGGAUACAGUUGAGUCACAUACCCAAAAACUCUUUUGGCCAUUUUUUUCUUAGUUUUGGGUGUUGCACUUUGUCACUUUAAUCCCUUUUUCUUAGUGAUCGACUCAGCAGGAGUGCCAUUCUCAACCAUCCAAGCUUUGUCUUCACAGGCUCUGCAUUUUUCAUUUAAACAUGGAACAUUCCCUACUAGAUUUCUCUGAUCUUAAUGGAUCAGCCAUUGUCCGUGAACGAAAAAGUGAACCACACUUCUUCCAUUUCCAUUUUCCUUUAGAAAUCAAGCUUGACGAACACUAAAAAAGAUAUCCGUUUACCAUUUUUGAACACCUCUAAUCCGCGAAUCAAAUGAGACUUACAUUAAACCUUGUUUUUAUCCAUUAUGUUAUUAAAGAUUCAAUCUUUAUUAGAAACUUAUGUUAUAAACAUUGUAAUGGUCCUACAAGGCGGCAUGGUAGAGCAAGCUCUGCCAUUGAUAUAAAUAUGAACAAUAAGGCAUGGCCCUUAUGGCAGACUUUUCAUUAAACAUCCAACGUCGGAUAUAGGUAGAAUUGAUUGAUAAAUAUAAAACCAGGUCGGCCGAUUAUUCAAUAUUGAGCUACAUUCUGCAGUAACAUGACAGAUGUGGUGGAAUAAAAGAGCUUCAUCAAAAGUGGGCAUCUUUGUUCAUCUUUAUGGAGUGGCUGGGAGAGUGGAGCAUCUCAAAUUGCAGAAGAUUUCUUUUCUUUCUUUGGUCGGCUUUGAUUUCAUAAGCUGACAUAGACAGAUCCCAUAAUCUGUUCUUUGUGCUAAAAACUCGUAUGGGAUAUAACUCCUUUCUGGAAAUAAAAUACAAAUUAGAAAGAAUGAGAGAGUUUGUUGUUUAGCACAACUCAUGAAGAUGACUAUGCUAGUUGUGACAUUUUUACUUAAUAACUUGGCGCAAGAAAAGGAUGUAUGGUUCUACAGAGCCCAGCAGUGCUUAGCUGCUUGGAGUUUUAUAAUAGUUCAUUUGGUUACGUAUGAGAUUGUCUAAGAGCUACGCAAGAAAAAAGAUGAUCUCUUUCUGAGUUUCUGGCAUGUGUUUUCCGAUCAAGAUAUUUGGUUCCAUAAGAUCAGAUUGAUCGACUUAGCUGUGCAUACAUAUAUAUUAUUGGUUAGCCUGCAAAGUCAACCAGAUUAAAGAACUGUGUGCAUGCUAACGGUAACAUUCUGUACUUGCUAAGCAAGAGUAGAUCUAACUAGGAGUCUGCAUGUUCAUUCUUACCCUAGAAAGUUAAGAUCAAGUUGAAUUCACAAGUAUUAGAAAGGUAUGAACACAUGAGGUUUGAGCUUGAGACAAAGUCUAUAUACUUGCUAGCUUCACCACUAGCAAUGUUCCUCAGUUCAGUUCCCAAUCUACAACUAAUGAAUUCAGAAACUUUUUUGGUUGUUGGUGUGGUGAUCAAAUUCUCGAGUGUAUUUAGCGAUGUUGGAAAGUGUAGCUUAAAUUAGAGUUUUUGAAGUCUCACAUUAAAAAAGUGAAAAAUCAUCUAAAACCGAGACAUUUGAAGAUCUUAGGCCCAUUUGUCUUUUGAGUGAAUAAAAUGGAGAGAGAAUGGUGGAUAUGUUUGUGUUGGGCAUGUUCUCUGUGGUCUCCCUGUGGAAUUCAGGAAUCUAAAUUCUUUAUAUCAUUUUAGGCUUUCUUUUUUGGUGAGAAAUCAUUUAGCAUAGCUGAAUUCUGAAACUUUUUUAGGUGGUGGGUGUGGUCAUCAUAUUCUUGAGUGUACUUAGCAGCUCCCUAGUUUGUUUUAUAGGAUCUUUCCCUCUUUUGUGGACUGGGAAGUUUUGAGCUGCCCAAUAUGAAGAAGGGGCUGAACCAAUGUGAAUUGCUGCAGGUUUUCUGGUAAGACCAAAACAAGUUGCAGAAAAAUACAAAAUGGCCCCCUAUCAAUUGCAAAUGCCAACCAUUGUUUUCUUCAAUGUGAGACAACUUAGACUAACAGAUCAUGUUCUUGACUUGAUUAUGGACUCGCUUGGUUUAGAUGAAUAAACAAACAAGUAAUCAGGUCUCAGCUAAAUAAGAAUUCAUAAAUAUCAAGAUGGCAUGAGGCACCUAUGUAUGUUUGUUUCACCAAUACCAAACUACCACUAUUCCUCAGUUCAGUCCCAGUCUAGAUCUAAUGAAGGCAAAUUAAGACUGGAAUUCAUUUCAGAAACUUUUCUUGGUGUUGGGUGUGAUGAUCAAAUUCCUUUUUGUAUCUACAACUAUCCAAUUUAUUUCUUACGCUAAUCUCCUUCAUUCAUGUGAAGCAAUGUGGAUUGUGAAAUUUGAUCUGCCUAAUAUAUAUGAAGAAAUCCUGAACCAAUGUUUUGCUGCAGAAUUUCUAGUGUGACUAAAACAAGGUGCACAUAAAUACACAAUGACCCCUAAGUUAAACAAUUGCUAAUACCAACCAUUGUUUCUUUCAAUGUGGGACAAAUUAGACCAGAAGAUCAUAGCCCUGACUUGAUUAUGGCUCACUUAGUCUCAGAUUAAUAAACAAACAGCUAAACCAGCUUUUAGCUAAAGAUCACAACUGCAAACCUUACUUUCAUCAGAAAAUGAUUGGCUUUGAUUUACCUCCUAACAUGGUUAUCAAUCAUUUGCACAUGCCUCUAAUAUUCCUUUUCUUCAUAAGACAAGCACUCUUCUGCAUUUAAAAACCUAAGAGAGGCAGAGCAGCUUACAAUCACUGAGGUGGUUAUGGAUGUGGUGGUAGCCAUGUGUUAAAAAGUAGAAAUACCAGGAAUUGUAUCAAUGUACCUAUCUCUGAUUCUAGAUAUACAGAGUAUAUUGAGCUAGAAUAUGUAGGGUGAUAGAUACAUUACCUCCAUUCAUUCCAACUAACUCUUCCUCUAUAAAUAUCCAUACCACACACUUAAAACAAAAAUCCUAUCAUCUCAACUCUCUCCAUUUCUCUUCUCUCUUCUUGGUCAGAUGGGUUUACAAGACUUGGAUGGGGGAGGUUUGAGAUUUCAAUAUGAGAAGCUUCGCAAGAGGAAUGAGAAGAAUGGCAGGUCUGGAAGACAUAUUUGGGUGAAGAAGAUGAAUGGAAGGCUAAAGGGUUUUCGUCUAUCACGCUCUAGGAAGUUCACUUUGAAGGUUUUCUCAGUAGUGUGGCCAAGCAGGAUUGCAAGGAUUUACAGUGAGAUAGUGAACAGACUGAAAAUAGAUGGAGUUUAUCCCAAUAUUGUUUUCUGUACUCAAUGGGGGCUUCCAGUUCUAUCUCAUUCAUCAGUUAAAUGUAGGGAGACAGUAGCAAAGGCUCCCUAUGCUAGGAGCUGUAUCAAAUAGCAUUCCUCUGGAUUCAGUUGUAUAUCAGCUUCCUCAGUUAAUACAAUUGCUUUUCUUACUUUUUCCUAUUGGCAUUCUUUAUACUGCAAUUUACAGAAUUUACAGUUCACUAAGAAAACGUAAUUGCCUCAAAAUUAUAACCUUAGUCAUCAUUUCACCAUGUUUAUCCAUUAAUCUUAUAAACACAGCCUGAUAUAACCACUUGCUGCCUUGUUGGUGUAUUCAUGUUUUCUCAUAUCAUUACCUAGCUGCCAUGCAGCUUCAGACUUUCAGUAUUAUUUGUUACAUGCCUAGCCUUCAGCUCAAAUUCGAUUAUUAAGAAAUCACUUAUUUCUAAUUGAUUAAUUACUGUCAAGGCAUUAGUUAAGAGUAUGUUGAGAUAUAUAUCCCACAUCGGGAAAAAUGAGAUAUUGUCUGUGGUUUAUAAGGGUUUGGGCCACUCCAUUUAUUGCCAAUUGAUUUUGGAUGUGAAUCUCAGACUACUUUAUCAACAUCACAAAUUGUGAAGAUAGAUAGUAAUUCUAAGAUACUAAUUACAUGUCAAGGCAAUGUUUAUAGAGUUACUUGUAUAAGUUGAACGCAGGCAACAAUAUUUCUCUUACAGUUAUUACAAGCAAAACAAAAUCAGUAUUGGAGGACUCCACCCAAUUAAACUACCUCUUAGAUGCAAGGCCACUCAUGGCGAGCAAAUAAGAGUCUUUGAGGCUGAAAUUUGGCAUGGGAAAGUGCCUUGUGAUCAUCUCCUUUGAUCGAAUCUUCUUCUCAUUUUUCGCCAGGCACCAUACUCUUGGCGGCGUAAGGCUUUCCUCACAAGUCUCUGGCUCUUCCUUGAUAGUUGCUAGCUUGCUCUUGAGUAUCUCUUCAAUGUCUUUCCAGGAAUCAGUUCUCAGAAACUUUCUUCUCAUGCAAGGCACCACCCUCCACAUUUUUCGAUAUGCCUUCAUCCUCAUCAGCUAGCUAGAAGAACACUAACUAACAAUCACCUACAAUGGUAGAAAACUAGAAAUGCUGCCAUGUCAAUUGAUUUAGACCAUUAUCAAUGCUCGUGUACUCGUUCAUAUUUAUAGAGAGGUAAAGUGGGUGCAAUAAGGGUUGCAUUAGUUGGAAAGGCACACUAAAGCCACAGCAUUUGCUCCUUUACAGCGAUUUUGGUUCAACUAUAAUUGAGUUUUGGUUAGAUAACCUUUAUAAGUGAUAAUCAUGAAGUUAUAAGCCUACCAAACCCCUAAUAUAUGGAAAACAACAUGAAAUCCGUUUUUCUGGAGUUGGAAGUUUAUAUUAUCCUGCUGAUUCGUUCUUUCAGCCACUUAUCAAUAGAUGAUGAUGAUUGAUGAACAAGGAAAGACAUGUCUGCUACUACAACUUUCAUGCUUGCCACUUUGUCCCUGGAAAGUUGAUGUUAUUUCUACUGUGUUUUAAAAAUAAGAAACUGAACUUAAUUACUAGGAUGUGCAGUUUUCAUUCUCCUAUGACUGCCAUGCCAUGGUAUGCCAAGCUAAAUCUUGGGUGAUCGUUAGCCAAAACAAAAGUUCUGGGUUAUUACAAGGAGCGAGAUGUCUAGGCCAUUGUCGAUGAUUUUGAAGAGUUCGACAGGACAAAUGCAACUCACAGUCACACGUACAGUGUCUGAAAUUUGCCUUGAAUGAUUUCUUUAGAAAACUUUUGCUUAAAAAGUAUGAAGCAUAUUCUGUUGGGAGCAGAAUUUUAUGAGACGUUCUUUGUAAUAAGCAAAAUGUCUUAAACCUUAAGCUUAAGGAAACCAAAUAUAGUUUCUUGCUAAAUCGAAAUGUACUGUGACUUGUCUAAAUGCCUGCUUGCUAACAGCCGGCCCCUAUGGUUGUCAAGACCCUAGACGUUAAAGUGAGAGCUCAAGACACGCCCCUCCUUCGCCUUGCCUCAAGGCCGGCACUGCUUGCUAAAGCACACAAUUUCUUAUUUUUUUUUUUUUAUUUUAGGUUUCUUAGUAUGAAUGUUACAGUGAGAUGCAAGUGAUACCCAAAAAAUCGAUUCAUCUACCAAGAGGCAACCAAAUGGUUCUUUAAUCAUCAAACACAAAUAUCUAAAAAGAGUGAUGGUGACAAUCAUAAGUCGAAGUUCAUAAAUGAUAAUUUCACAUGUAAAAAUUUCUAAAAUUAGAUAAUAUAGAUGGAAACAUUUUGUAACAUAAACCAAGUUUUAAACAUCAAUGGUUUCAAGUUUGCAAUUUUGUUUUAAAACUUUUUAUUGUAUUUCCUCUAAAAACAUUAAUAAUCAAUUAUGACCUCAAUUCAAACCAUGAAGUUGAAGUCUUACUCUAGAAAACACUGUUUCCUUGUAUAUUACUAAAUUCAUCAAUCAUUGUGAAAGGUAUGUGCUCACCACUUCGAAGAUCAAAGAAAAAACAUUAUGCCAAACUAUGAAUAGGAUGAUUAACCUUUCACUGUCAAGAAACAUUAUGCCAAAUUACUCACUAAAUAACACAAGAUAAUCGCAUUUAGAAGACUUGAGAAACGCACUUAGCCAUUAAAAGCCCUCUAUAAACUAAUACAAAUACCAGACGCUACCUUCAAUUUCAGCCAUCACAAAUCCACCACGUAGUUCUCUACGUGUUCACAUAGAAUCAGAGACAAUUAAGGAUUUAAUUUUAAAUCCUAAUUUCUGUUCCUACAGUCCACGAAACUGUAGAACCAGUCGAAUUUUCUGACCCAACACAAACACAGUUUCACUUUCACUCCUUUCUCCUACAACCUCGCCGGAGAAACCGAGCUUCCCUUCAAUCUGUAAUAGUCUGUAAAUCUCUCAUUUAUUCACAUAAACUCUAACUUCAACUCUAAUUCCUAUCUGGGUCGCCUUCUUUUUCUUCUCUAGUCCAACAUUUCUGAUCAAAAUCCAAACUUUAUUGAUUCCUGUUGCUGCUUUAUUGGCUCCUAUUGUGUUGAACUGUGAUUCAAUCCAACUCUCUUCUGGGUUUGUUGCUUUUGGUUUACUGGUCCAACAUUUGUGAUCAAAAUCGAAACUUUAAUGAUUCUUAUUGGUGCUUUGACUGCUUUCUGGGUUUUUGAGUUUAACAAUUGUAGAAAUAUAGCUGCAUAAAAUUGAUGUCUGUGCUUGAUAAAGAGAUAUCAAGCAGUAGUAGAGAUUGUGGGGAUGAUGAUGGUGAGGAGGAGGAGGAUGAAAAUGGUGCCGGGGUCAAUGAGAGAUGCAGAUGCAAAGCCAAGGAUGGAAAGAAGCAGAGUAGUGGGAUUGGGUUUACAAGGAAUUUGGGGAAGGCCAAACAGGUUGUACUGUCUCCAUUCACAAAAGCCAAGAAGCAAUUGCCUAGAAGACACAGGGCUGCUGCUCCUUCCUGUUCACCGUUUGCUUCAGGUAAGAGGUUUGGAGCUAGUGGAGGUAAUACAGGAUGUUACUUAUGUUUCAUGCCAUCAUUAACUGUGGAUUCAUCGGCUGAGUCUCCCAGCAGCGAUCCGAAUAGCCCGAAUUUUAGUUAUGGGAAGUUGAGGAGUUUAAUUGAGAAGAAUGAUUUCUAUUCCAAAGAAUGCAAUUACCAUUUAAACUUUGAUCCUGAAUCACCAAGCUAGAGGUUGAAAGGCAUUGCUUUCCGAUUUGUACAAUGGCUAAUGCUGUUGUUGUUUGUUGUGUGGAAGUGAUCCUUGAGGAUUUUCCCAAGAGCAGUUUGAGAGGUUGUAGAACUUGCAUUUAUAAGAAAAGUGUCAUUGUUUUGAAGUUGGAAGUGAAGUUUUUUGCGGCGUUUUGUUGUCUUGUGUUUCAUUGUGAGAAUGAGAGCCUGAGACAAUGCUGGUGAUAGAUGUUCAGUCAUUUAGUGCAGGUUUGUUUCAAGAAUGUAUGCCAAACAAGCCCUAGACAACGGAUGGUAAACCAAGAUUGGUUAGCAGUUCAUGUCUCUUCACUUGGGAAUUCUGAUUCCGAAGUUUUGUUGUUAGGCUAUGGUUCAGAAUCAAAGCCUGUUAAUGAUUCAAUAUCUAUGGACAACCGCUUGCAGUGUUACAUUUUUGGUAAAUAUAUGCAGUACUACAUUGCUACUACAUUGCUUUGUGGACAAGUUGAAUUGUUUGUUUAAUGUCCUAUAGUUAUCUCUAAUGCAAAUUUUUGGCGCAAGUAUGUGCUGCAAUGUUGUAGUCCACAUUUACAUAUGAAAGAUGAAAAGUACAUUAAUCAGUUGUAGGAGUGGAAGAGGUUGAAACCUUUGUAUUCUUUCAAUUUGUGAACUCAUAUAACCUCUCGGUUUAUGUGGUAUUGUCUUGUGAUGUUUUGUGGCUACGUUCAAAAUUUUAUCCAACUGAGUUUGGGGUGAACUAGGUUUUACGUAUGAAAGAAAAAGACUCCUUUGAUCAAUUGUAGGAGUGCAAGACGUUAAAAAUCUUUCAAUUAAAAUUUGUAAAUUCAUCGGCACCUUGUUUCAUGUGGUAUUGUUUUCUGAUAUUGUGUAGAGAAUAGAGCUCAAAACUUUCUCAAUCAAAUGAGCAAAGUUCGGGUUCUUCAUUGAGAGGCAUAUUGCAUAAGAUGUUGCAGUCAUUCCAAGUACCAUCUACGGUAUGCACUUUCCUGCCUUUACUUUCUUUUAUAUGCCUUGGGUCUUGUGAGUGAAUCUCUUUUAGACUGCAAUGAUGAAGAGUGGAGUUAAAUCUUUUCGACUAUAUAGCUACAUUUCCAUUGCUUUACGCUUCUCUAAACACAUAAGUAGUUCUUAGCAUAAACUUAAAUCAAGCAGCUGCUCCAAGAAGUAAUUGUUUGGACAGGAAACCAUUUUAGGCUCUAAUUUGUAUCUUUGAUAAACAAUUACUUAAUUAGACUACUUGUUAAAUAAUCUUAGAUUUAUAUUCAUACUUUUGUGAAAUUUGUGAAAUAUCUCCUGGUGAGUGGACAGAAUUGUAAAUUUUCUUCAAUGGGGACUCCUAUUUCCAGAAAUAUCUGGCUUUACUUCUUUAUAGGCGUUUGGUCCUGUGAAUGGACUUCUUUUAUUCUUAUUGUAGAAUCUUUCUUGAAUGCAAAAAUUAGUUGUAGAACUCUUUUGAACUGUCAUGCUUUUUCUUGCUACUUCAAACACCUCAAUGAUUUGGAGCCUAAAGUUAAGUCAGGCAGUUAAGCAGUUUAAAGGCUUUUAAAUAGUGGAGUAAGUGUUGAAUAAGCAGUUUAGAUUAUUUGGUUUUGUAUUGAAGAUAAUUUAGAUGACACAGUUGAAGUAAUGUUUAUGGUUUGUUAUUUCUCAUGAGACAGACUGGAUUCCCAUUUUGCUCUCUCACAAUUGUUUUUAAUCUUAAAAUCUUUGCAAAAUCUUAGGUCAUUUGUUAAAGCAUAUUGAAGUUUGCUUUUUAUAUACACAGGAGUUUUAAUCAAUACUAGUAACAGGGCCAUCUUCUCGUAAAGACAUAAGUUGGUUUAAUUCAGUCGUUGGUUUGCACUUUCCAAGAUAUGUUGGAGUGCUGAAAGGAGGGACAGAGUUGGUUAAAAGUGUGUUGAAAGCUAUCUGCUUAAAUGUAAUUCCUUGCCAUAGAAGAUCUUUCUUUUGAAAUAAACCUUUAAGUGAGAUUCGGAUAUGAAAUGAUCCUAGCUAGACUGAUAUGAUGGAAGUACUGGCUUCCAGCUUAUGAGUGCAGUUUCUUUGAUACAUCACUACGUUUUGCAAUCCUCGGAAGCUACUUAUUUCAUUUCUGGUAAUAAAUUCAUAGUUCACAGACAUGUUUUUGUUCUGGUUACAUUGCCACGCAAAGCCAAGCAGUUAUGUACUUAUGUUACUGUGAAAAAUGUCACUGGAUAGCUUCUCAUUCUAUGGAGCUUGAAAACCAAUGUGAGAUAUAAAAGCAUUUACCUUCUCCUUCAAGCAUGUGCUUAGGGAGGUGAAGGUCUGGCUUAGGAGGUGGGAAAGACCUCCCACCUGAAUCUCCUUCCUGCUCUGAACUCUUAGUUUGGGUCAUGUUCUGUGGGAGAUUUCCUUAUAGUGGUGUAUGUAUUGUUCCUUAUCAAAAUAUAUAGAAAAGUAAAGGCUUCCUAUUCUGAUGGAUAAACCAAAUUGCCGCUUUAUUGCAAAAACAAGAUUAGAUUGCCGAAAGCAUAUGGUCCGCACCAAGAAAAUAUCUGUGUGAUUAUGUCAAAUCCAGGAAGAGUCCCCCAAUACACUAAUAGGAACCCAAAGCAUGGAACGUGCACAGCAUGGAAUGAAGUGGUGAAAUUUAAUGCAGUAUGGGAGAAAAUUUGUUCCCUUCCUAGUUGUAAGCAACUUCCAAAUUGUAGACUUCAUCCCCACACAAGUGGUGUCACCUCCAUGAAUAUAUGGGAAUGUUACAGCAAAUAUAUGAGAAUGCUACCAUAGAAUGUUACAGCAAUACAAGCAAUUCUGGUCGCUUCAUGAACCGGCAUUUACAUUGGAGUUAUCGAAAAAUGUGAUUAACCGAAGUAAGCGGUUUUCAUUCUACUAAAAGAUGCGAUUAACAAUGUGAUUACCGGUUAGUGAACAUAAGAAAAUGGUCGGCAAUGUGAUCAGUAUCACAUCUUUACGCUACUAUCGACAGCUACCGGAAAAUGGACAUCAGAAAAGGAGAGGUGAACACUACACUCUUCUCAACCUUUGUAUUGAGCCAAAUAUGGAUGCAGUGGAGUUGCUUUGGUAUCUAGUUCAAAUACCGACUACUGAGACAAUGAGUGACUGACUGUGAUACCAUCCAUACCAAUUGCAGCCAACUCAUUGACUCAUUCUGCAGAAAGAAAUCAAAACAAAGUUGCUCAUAAUUUUCCAUUUCAAGAUAGGAUAAAGGUAAAAGGAUGGCCCCAAGAUGGCAAUAAAUAUACUUCUAAUCAAAUAAAGGAGAUAAAAAGGGCAAAGCCAUAUGUGCAAGUAUGGGCCAAAAUCUAGUAGUGCGCGUUAGAUGCCCUUUUCCUAGGGUAAUCUGACCCUUAAACAAAGGGACGAGCCGGCCAACACCAAACUCUCAGAAGAAUCAGAUAAAACGCAGCAGGAUUGGGCUCCCCUCCACGUGACUACCAUAAGUCAUUACUCUCUCUCUUUUGUUGGUUUCCUCCAGAAAAGGCAUGGUCUUCUGUCCCAACUCUUCUCUCUGUAACCCAACUUCUCAGUUCCCCAUUAUCAGUUUAAUCUCAGUAGUGAAACCAUGAUUAGCUUACCCACUUUGAGUUAUUAUAUAUUAUGUUGGGUUUCCACUGCUAUAAGUUAUAGGGAUGUGAGAGCUUACUAUAUAGGGAAAGGCGCGGCAGACCAAUCCAAAGCCAACCCACUUGUCCCCUCCAGCUACACCCCUCUUUGGAUCCAUUUCUUGUUGUGGACCCAGUCUGGGUUUUUUAUGCUUUCUAAAUUUGGAUCAUCUUUCCCUUGUUUAAUUAGUAAAGGCGGUUCCUUCAUAUACUGGUUUAGUACUUGAAGCUGCUGCUGGGCUGUGAAACUGUGAAAGCAGAGAAGAGACAGAGAAGACGGUGAUCGAGAAUAGUGUGGGGGCUCUGUUUCAAAGUUUGAUACUUUAUAGGACCCAGCUUUGCAUUUCUUGCUACCAGUCAAGUUUUCAAUCUCUAUAAGUUGAGGGUCACUUCUGCAUCUGAAAGCUACAGAAGUUCUCUGCUUACUGCAGCUUAAAAAGGUUAGGCUGCUUUCAUUUUUUUGCUCAUGUUCUAUUUUUUUUCUAGCAAAGUUCUUUUAUUUUCUUAUUUUUGACGCUUAGUUGUUACUACAGUAACUAUGGCUUCUUUGACUGAUUUGGUAGUUGUUUUGAGCUUAGCAGUUUUAUUCUUUGGGAUUCCAUUGAUGAACUAGUUGAUUCUGAAUUGGUUGUGUAAGAAUCAGUGUAGCUUGGUAUUUUUUUUUUUUUCUUCUCUAGUUUCAGUGAGGUUUUUGAAUCCCUGUUCGUGUUGUUCAAUUGCUUUCUGUCGGCAGUGGUCAACAGGUUAAAGAUCCUUAGAUUUGAGUGAGGAUAUGUCUUGCUUUUGAACUUUUGAGACCUUGAUCACGAGUUAUGCAAGUCUAAGUUGCAAACUGGGCAAGUUAUAGUUUGCGGGAGUUGGUUGAGAAACUGUUGUCAGUUUUGUUAGUGGUUGUGAUAGUGACUUUUGAGUAGUCACAAGUAAGAUGGAAAGCAACAAUCAUUUCUGGACAAAUUUUAGCGAUUGUGGUAGCCUGUUAGAUUGUUAUUCCUUGAAGAAAAGGGAUUCUAGAGCUUCCUUUGGAAAUGUUUUUGAUUCAUUUCUAUAAUAGUGUUGUGCUUGUUGUGCCUGUUGUAUUUGUUGUAUAAGUUUUCCUCACUGCAGAAGUUUUACAUUAAGCUUUAUGAGUAUUGCCAUUUUAGGAAUCAUGCCUCUGCUCCUGAUUCAUACUUGUAUUACUUUGAUGAUCGUAGUGGUAAUAGUUAUGAUGGAACUAAUAUCAAACAUAAGUAGCGUAUGUAAUUAAUUCUAGUAAUGUUUUUCAAAAGGUUGAACAUUAUUUUGAUUACUGGUAUUUUUGUUUUCACUGUGCAGUUUAUGUGAGAAUGUCGUCUUCAAGACCCAGUCACUCAUCCAGCAAUUCAGGGAGAUCAAGACACAGUGCUAGAGUUAUUGCUCAGACAACUGUAGAUGCAAAGCUUCAUGCAAACUUUGAGGAGUCGGGCAGUUCCUUUGACUACUCGAACUCAGUGCGUGUUAGCAGUGAAGUUACUGGGGAUCAACAACCUAGGUCUGACAAAGUGACCACUGCUUAUCUCCAUCACAUACAGAAAGGGAAGCUGAUCCAGCCAUUUGGGUGUUUGCUAGCCUUAGAUGAUAAAACAUUCAGGGUCAUUGCAUACAGUGAGAAUGCCCCUGAAAUGCUGACUAUGGUUAGUCAUGCUGUCCCGAGUGUUGGGGAUCACCCAGUUCUUGGCAUAGGAACAGAUGUAAGAACAAUUUUCACAGGCCCUAGUGCCUCUGCAUUGCAUAAGGCCCUCGGGUUUGGGGAGGUUUCUCUCUUAAAUCCCAUCCUAGUCCAUUGCAAGUCAUCUGGAAAGCCUUUCUAUGCUAUAGUCCACCGGGUGACAGGUAGUUUGGUCAUUGAUUUUGAACCAGUCAAGCCGUAUGAAGUCCCCAUGACUGCUGCUGGAGCUCUGCAAUCAUACAAGCUUGCAGCCAAAGCAAUUGCACGAUUGCAGUCUUUGCCUAGUGGGAGCCUGGAGAGGCUUUGUGAUACAAUGGUUCAAGAGGUGUUUGAGCUUACUGGUUAUGACAGGGUGAUGGCCUAUAAAUUUCAUGAUGAUGAUCAUGGGGAAGUGGUUGCUGAGCUUACCAAGCCUGGCCUGGAGCCGUACCUGGGUUUGCACUAUCCAUCCACUGAUAUACCUCAAGCUUCACGGUUCCUUUUUAUGAAGAAUAAGGUUCGUAUGAUUGUCGACUGUUGUGCAAAAAAUGUCAAGGUCCUUCAAGAUGAGAAGCUUCCUUUGGAUCUAACAUUGUGUGGUUCAACCCUCAGAGCCCCACAUAGUUGCCAUUUGCAAUAUAUGGAGAACAUGAACUCCAUUGCUUCUCUUGUUAUGGCAGUGGUGAUCAAUGAAGGGGAUGAUGAGGUUGCCGGUCCUGAUUCUGCGCAGACUCAAAAAAGAAAGAGACUCUGGGGUUUAGUAGUAUGUCAUAACACAACUCCAAGGUUUGUCCCUUUCCCACUCAGAUAUGCCUGUGAGUUUCUAGCUCAAGUGUUUGCCAUCCAUGUGAAUAAGGAAUUAGAGUUGGAGGAUCAGAUGAUUGAAAAGAACAUCCUGCGCACACAAACGCUGUUGUGUGAUAUGCUGUUGCGUGAUGCUCCUUUGGGUAUUGUGUCACAAACACCUAAUAUUAUGGAUCUAGUGAAAUGUGAUGGGGCUGCCUUACUGUACAAGAACAAGAUAUGGAGACUUGGAUUAACUCCAAGUGACUUCCAGAUUCAGGACAUAUCCUUGUGGCUCUCUGAGUGCCAUAUGGAUUCCACAGGUUUGAGUACUGAUAGCUUGUAUGAUGCAGGUUUCCCUGGGGCUCUCGCUCUUGGUGAUGUAGUAUGUGGAAUGGCAGCUGUGAAGAUUACUUCCAAGGACAUUAUUUUUUGGUUCCGAUCCCACACUGCUGCAGAAAUCCGAUGGGGUGGUGCAAAACAUGACCCGGAUGAGAAGGACAAUGGCUGGAAAAUGCACCCUAGAUCAUCAUUCAAGGCUUUCCUUGAAGUUGUCAAGACAAGGAGCUUACCAUGGAAGGACUAUGAAAUGGAUGCAAUUCAUUCUUUGCAGCUUAUUCUGAGGAAUGCAUUCAAGGAUGUUGGAGACAUGGAUGUAAACAACAAUGGAAUCCAGAUGCAGCUUAGUGACCUGAAAAUUGAUGGGGUGCAAGAACUGGAAGCAGUGACAGGUGAGAUGGUUCGAUUGAUUGAAACAGCAUCAGUGCCAAUUUUGGCAGUUGAUAUUGAGGGAUCAGUUAAUGGGUGGAAUACAAAAAUUUCUGAGUUAACUGGUCUUCCUGUUGAUAAAGCAAUUGGAAAGAAUUUGCUCACACUUGUGGAAGAAUCUUCAACUAUCAUGGUGGGCAGGAUGUUGGAGUUGGCAUUGCAAGGUAUGUUGUAAACCCUGUUGUAAAAUUUUUCAUUUUAGAUGUCAAGGCAGCACUGACCAUAUAUGCAUAUGCAUGUGUGAACCAAGUACAUCUGUGUAUUCCUAGCCAUGAGUAUCACAGAUAUCUUCCACACAUGACACACCCCCUCUCUCCCUUUCGGCCUUUCCCCUUCUCCACCCUCUUCCUUCUGGGUGUGAAGAGUGGAAAUGGGAUUUAUUUGCUGUUCUUUUCAGAGUUGUUCAUGUUUAUUAUUGCUGUUCAUUGGAUCAGCUAAGUUCAUUUUUUUUUUUCUCUUUGCUUCUGGUCAGGCAAAGAGGAACAAAACAUCCAAUUCGAGAUAAAAACACAUGGUGCUAGGGCUGACUUUGGUCCCAUCAGCUUAGUUGUGAAUGCUUGUGCAAGCAGAGAUAUUCAUGAAAAUGUUGUGGGAGUGUGCUUUGUGGCCCAGGAUAUUACAGGUCAGAAGACUGUGAUGGACAAGUUCACUCGGAUUGAAGGUGAUUACAAAGCAAUUGUACAAAACCCAAAUCCUUUGAUACCCCCAAUAUUUGGCACUGAUGAAUUUGGCUGGUGUUCUGAGUGGAAUCCAGCAAUGACUAAGUCGACUGGUUGGAAACGAGAGGAGGUAAUGGAUAAAAUGCUGUUGGGGGAGGUUUUUGGGAUCCACAUGGCAUGUUGUCCUCUGAAGAAUCAAGAAGCUUUUGUAAACCUUGGUGUUGUAAUCAAUCGCGCCAUGACUGGUGAGGUGUCCGAAAAGGUUCCUUUUGGUUUCUGGAAUCGGGGUGGAAAGUACACUGAAUGUUUGUUGUGUGUAAGUAAGAAAUUGGACAGUGAGGGUGCAGUCACUGGAGUCUUUUGCUUUUUGCAGCUUGCUAGCCUAGAAUUGCAACAAGCACUUCAUGUCCAACGUUUAUCUGAACAAACUGCUGUGAAGAGAUUUAAAGCAUUAGCUUAUAUCAAAAGGCAGAUCAGGAAUCCUUUGUCUGGAAUACUAUUUUCUCGGAAAAUGAUCGAGGGUACUGAGUUGGGAGCAGAACAAAAACAGCUCAUACAUACCAGUGCCCAGUGCCAGCAGCAGCUCAGCAAAAUACUAGACGACUCAGAUCUUGAUAGCAUCAUUGAUGGGUAUGACAAUAUCCUGUACUUGUAGAGUUAUUUUCCUUAUGUUAAGGCAACUCAUGAAAUUCUUGAUGGCCUUGGAUUUGCAUCUUUAUCUAGUCCCCAGGGUACCUUAACUGAUAGUAAUUAGUUUUUCAUGGAUCACUUGAAAUGAUUUAUGGGGAUUCACCUUUAGAUUCUUAUAAUGUUAGAUUAAAUCUGAGCAUAUUCUUUUCUGUAGAAGCUAUUGAAGUAUUCAAUUUCAGUUGUCCAUAUAUCCAUAGUGAAAGUGAUGCGGUGAGACCUAAUUAGUUCCUUCUUUUUUCUGAUCAUUUGACAGCUACUUGGACCUGGAAAUGGUUGAGUUCACUUUGCAGGAAGUAUUGGUUGCCUCUAUUAGUCAAGUCAUGAUUAAGAGCAGUGCUAAGAGUAUCCGGAUUGUCCAAGAUGCGAAUGAAGAGAUAAUGACUGAGACAUUGUAUGGUGAUAGUCUUAGGCUUCAACAAGUCUUGGCUGAUUUCUUAUCAGUGUCGGUUAAUUACAUGCCGUCUGGAGGCCAGCUUACUCUAGCAACGAAUUUGACAAAAGAUCAGCUGGGUCAAUCUGUUCAUCUUGCACAUUUGGAAUUCAGGUACAGCUUUGAAUACAUAGUAUUGAUGUCUGCUUUAACUCUUACCAAUUGCUAGUUUCUACAUACAGACAAACAGUUUCCACCCAAAUAACAACAACAACAACAAAAAAAAAACUUUUUGAGGUCUUUGAAACUUGUUGAGGAACUAGUUCCGUAGCUGUACACUAAUCUCAGCUGCAAAGAGUGAAUUUUUGAGGCCAAAUGAGUAGUACUAUAACAUAUAAAUAAAGAUUGAAGCCUAUCAGAUCAACUGGUUUCUUGUAUCAGUUGGUUGCUUGUGUUACAACUUACAACUUAAAGUGAAUAUCAGUCAUCAAAUGCUGAAUUGAUAUGUUGGAUCAGGAUAUCACAUGCGGGCGGUGGGAUUCCAGAAGGAUUACUGAACCAGAUGUUUGGAACAGAUGGUGACAUAUCUGAAGAAGGCAUUAGCCUACUUAUAAGCCGAAAGCUAGUGAAGCUCAUGAAUGGAGAUGUACAGUAUCUCCGGGAAGCAGGGAAGUCGAGCUUCAUCAUAUCCGCGGAACUUGCUGCUGCACAUAUGAUCAGGUCCUAGACAUUCAGUUUCCAGUGACAUGACAUUACCUUACCGAUCUCAAGUGUACAGCCUACCAGGAAUGAGAGUCGGAUGAUGCAACUUUACAGAUUAUGCCGGAAAUUUCAGCUUAGCUCUGUUCUUAGCACUUUGCAUUUCUGCUUUGCACUGUAAAUAGGCAUGUAUCGCUUUGUUCUUAACAUGUUUUUACCUUGUGACGGAAUAAAAAGAGAAAUGGGGAAAGAUUUUGCAGUUUGCAAUAUUCCUUGUAUGCAUGUAUGAAUUACAGACUUAGAGCAACUUCAAUGAAGUUGUCAAAAUGCUAUUGUCAAAUUUGAAUUUGACUAGUGAUGUGGCUGUGUCAAAAUUGGCAAAAAUCAACUCCAACCAAAGUGUCUAAUUUAAAUCAUAUUCUAUUUAUUUCUAACAUAAAAUUUUUUUUUUCUCUUAUUUAUCUCUUGUGCUGCACAACCUACACCCACAGCCACCCACUUUUUACCUCUCCAUCUUUGCCUUCCUCCUCCUCCUUUCCUCUGUUUCUUCUCCUCCUCUCCCUCUCGUUUUUUUCUUUCUUCUCCAACUCUUCUCUUUCUAAUCAAAGAGACUUUGAACACAGAUCAAAUCUUUUAUAACUUAGUUUGUUCAAGCCACCUUUUUUCCUUACUCGUUUUUCUUCUUCUUAAUUCUUACCUAAAGCCUACAGAAACCCAUCCACUCCAGAAAAAUCCCCACACAAUCGAAGCCCCAAUUUCAAGAUUCAGUUCUUCUAAAUCCCUUCUAAUUUUAUUUACAGACCCAAUGAGAAGCUGUAUUCUGAAAUUUGGAUCUUUUUGAAGGUGGUGGUGAGAAAUUGUGUUCUGAAAUUUGGAUCUUUUUGAUGAAGGGAGCUUCUCAGCAGAGAAGGAAGAGAGAAGGAAUAGGAACAAUAGAAUAAGAUUUGAAAUGCUUGGUUCAUACGGUCAAAUUUGACAAUGUUGUGCUCAAGGUCAAAUCCAGGUCGGAAUUGACACAGCCACGUCGUAUUUGGCAUCUUCAAUGGAGGAACCAAAAGUUGUCAAAACUAGCUGUUGAGCCUCGACCCUGUCAUUUGACAGGUUUGUUGGAGAUGCUCUUACAGUUCUGUUCUUUUGCUGACAAACCACUUUCACGUGUGGGAUCCCUGUGCAAGUUAAAAUUUGCAUUUCUAUAUAUCACCAACUAUGACUCAAUACCACACUUGAUUCACAUACUUCCAUUGUUGAAAUGCAUUUCCUGUGUCAGAUUUCAAAUUCAUAAUGUUGUGAACAGAGCAACAUACAUGUUUAAGUUCUCAAUAAAAGUGGUACAAUAUGCAGAUCACUUCAGAAUGGUAGAGGUGGUACGUUAUAUGUUCAAAACUCAUGUAUUCUUAAUUUGUAGUUUUUGUUGUAAUGGUUCUACUCAGUGAAGUAUUGUGAAGUUUAUUUUGAUAAAACUGUUUUGUUGGAGAAAACCACAAAAUAGACAAAUAUCAAGAAGUAAGCAAAACGUUAUAAGAUCAAGGACCUCGAAUCAAAUAAGGAAAUGAGAUGGUUGUGCUGGUGCACUUUGGAACUCAGGCUGACGUACAAAUACAGACCAAAUACCAAAUAAAUCAAAUCCGGUCUAGAAUGUCUUUUUAAGGAGAUGGAGAUGCAUGACAUUUUAGUACAAAACAUCUUUGCAACACGCUUCUGGUAUACUGUACCCUCUGACUCUGCCUUUUUUUCAUUAAUAAAAAAAAGAAAAUAUUGUUAUAAAUAAUAAAAAUAAUAGAAAUUGUGCGGCUGUUCAUAUAAUUAUAUUAUUUUGGGUUUAACAUAUAAUACAUACUCAAUAGCUAGAGUUCAUUGUGUAGAUUGUGGAAAACUAGAGAUUGAUCACCAAGUAACUUGUGAGUGAAGAUCAAGUAACAUAUGAGUUAAGGGUGAAGAUCAAGUUUGAGUGAUCACCGUUUCCAUACAAGGACUAAGUUUUAUGUACCGUGCUCUUUAAUUUUAGCCGAUGUUCUAAAAAACGUUAAGUGCUAGUCAGACGGAUGACCGGUGACGAACACCUAAGCGAAUUAAUUGGUUUUCUAGCUCUACAUGGAAACGGUGAAACACCACUUAGGCUAAUCGGCUCUAAGCGGGAUGGUUUUAGCUCAGGCGCGGCCCAUAUAAACAUUCAUAGACCAAGUCAAAGGACGCUCAAAGCUGACCACCCGCACCCCACAGAAUCAGUUACCUGAGACUAGAAAACCACACCGUCUUCUCCACUCUAACCAAAAUCUUCAGCCUUGAAUUUCCAAUGAACCUCAAGUCGCUCUCUUUCGCCGCCGAGACCCCUCCGCUCUCAGUUCUCGCGGCGGCCAAGCUCGCCGGUGUUUCUGUCCCCGCCGACGCCUCUCUUGCUCCCGAUUCUCCUCCGGUUCUUCACUUCUGCAAUGGGUAAAACCCUAAACCCUUUCUAUUAUACUCCCUUCGCUUUCCUUUACUCUCUCUUAUCUUCAAGGUUUUCAAAUUUGGAUUUGCCUUCGAUUUUGCAGGCGAAAACUGCGCGGCGUUUUGCCGCUUCUUCGCUAUUUCGGCGGUAUUGCAAAUCUGUGCGGCGCCGAUGCGUUUCAAGAGGCUAAGAUUGCGGAGUGGCUUGAGUACGCUCCUGUGCUUUCGGUUGGCUCGGCGUUCGAGAAUGCCUGCAAGCAUUUGGAUGAGUACGUGGGAAGCCGAACCUUCUUGGUUGAUCACUCGUUUUCGAUUGCCGAUAUCGCAAUCUGGUCAGGCCUUGCAGGUUAGUAGCUUUGAUUGGAUGAUUGAUAGGAUAGGAGUGUUAGAGAUAUUUGUAUUGGUUUCGGUUAGUGUUGUUAAAGUCUAUUGCUUGGCAGGAGCUGGACUUAGAUGGGAGAGUUUGAGGAAGUCUAAGAAGUAUCAGAAUCUUACUAGGUGGUAUGGUUCGAUAUUGGCCGAACACGGUGAUGCGUUGAAUCAAGUAACAGCUGCUUAUGUUGGCAAGAAAGGCGCGGGGAAGUUGAAAGAGAACAUUGCCAGUCAGAAGUCGAAUGGCGUGAAUGGAGAUGCAGAGAAAGCGGGAACUCCCACCACACGAGGAAAAUACGAGGUGGAGCUUCCUGAGGCUGAGGUUGGGAAGGUGAAGUUGAGGUUUGCGCCGGAGCCAAGUGGUUAUCUUCACAUUGGGCACUCAAAGGCAGCUUUGUUGAAUACUUACUUUGCUCAGAAGUAUAAAGGUGAGGUAAUUUUGCGGUUUGAUGAUACAAAUCCUGCGAAAGAGAGCAAUGAGUUUGUGGAUAAUCUUAUCAAGGAUGUCGAGACUUUGGGUGUCACGUAUGAGAGGAUUACCUAUACUUCUGAUUAUUUCCCUGAGUUGAUGAAAAUGGCCGAGAAGCUGAUUUUCGAAGGUAAAGCAUAUGUUGAUGAUACACCUAGAGAGCAGAUGCAAAAAGAACGAAUGGAUGGGAUUGAGUCGAAGUGCAGAAACCAUAGCAAAGAGGAAAAUUUGAAAUUGUGGGAGCAAAUGAUUGCAGGUUCAGAGAGGGGUCUGCAGUGUUGUGUUAGAGGAAAGCUGGAUAUGCAGGAUCCUAAUAAAUCACUCAGAGAUCCUGUUUAUUAUCGUUGCAACCCAAUGCCGCAUCAUAGGAUUGGGGCCAAGUACAAGGUCUACCCAACUUAUGACUUUGCUUGUCCAUUUGUUGAUUCCAUUGAAGGUAUAACUCAUGCACUUCGAUCUAGUGAGUAUCAUGACCGCAACGCCCAGUACUAUUGGAUUCAAGGUGAUAUGGGACUGAGAAGAGUGCAUAUAUACGAGUUCAGUAGGUUGAACAUGGUCUACACACUCCUCAGCAAGCGCAAGCUUUUGUGGUUUGUUCAAAAUGAGAAGGUCAAUGGAUGGGAUGAUCCUCGAUUUCCCACUGUUCAAGGAAUUGUGCGCAGAGGUCUCAAAAUUGAAGCAUUGAUACAGUUCAUUCUUGAGAUGGUAAGACACUAAUCUUUAAUACCAUGAUUAACACAGUAUAUGUUUAUAAUAGCAUCUUACAAAACCUUAACUGCUAGACGCCAAGUGUGUGGAUGACCUAAUGGGAAGCACUAGUUGGUCAUGAAAUAUAGUUCCUGUCUACUGCUUCUUAUGUCCUCUGUUUCAUAGUUGUACUAGUUUAUCUUUACAAUGGAGGCUUUUUUAUUUAUCCAAACUUUGAAUGAUGAACUUAAUAGUUGAUUUUUAAUUAUUGUAUGAUUUAGGGGGCUUCAAAGAAUCUGAAUCUUAUGGAAUGGGACAAACUGUGGACAAUUAACAAGAAGAUUAUUGAUCCUGUAUGCCCAAGACACACUGCCGUCAUUGAAGAGGGACGAGUGUUGUUGACCCUCUCUAAUGGCCCUGACAAGCCAUUUGUCCGCAUGAUACCUAGGCAUAAGAAGUAUGAAGGUGCUGGAGAGAAAGCAACGACAUUCACAAGGAGCAUAUGGAUAGAUCGAGCUGAUGCAGAGUUGAUAUCAGUUGACGAGGAAAUCACGUUGAUGGAUUGGGGGAAUGCCAUUGUUAAGAAGAUUGAUAAAGACCAAGAUGGAAAUCUUGCACUCACAGGGGUUUUGCAUCUUGAAGGAUCUGUGAAAACCACCAAAUUGAAGCUUACCUGGCUGCCUCAAAUAGAUGAACUGGUUAAGCUCUCGUUGAUGGAGUUUGAUUAUCUGAUAACAAAGAAGAAGGUAUGUGCCAUUCAACAAUUGUGAAGUUUCCUAUGCCUUGCUAAAAUGUUUAACCUGUGGACUCUGUAAUUCUAUGCAUGAUAGUUUAUGCUUGCCCAUGAUGACACUGAAAUGUAAUUGAAUUGGUUGUUUUGAUUUGCGAUUGCAGCUUGAGGAAGGUGAGGAUUUCCUUGAUGUGAUUAACCCAUGUACUGAAAAGGAGACAGCUGCCCUUGGGGAUACCAACAUGCGAAAUCUGAAACGUGGAGAUGUAUUGCAACUUGAGAGGAAAGGAUACUUCAGAUGUGAUGUUCCGUACCUCAGGCCAUCAAAGCCUAUUGUUCUCUUUGCAAUCCCUGACGGCAGGCAGCAGGCUGGGUUAAAGUGAAGAGCUUCAAGAAUUUUUUGGCUUCAUGAUUUUGAUAGAAAACUUUUUAUUUCAAAAUUGAAUGGUAGAACUUUUAACUAGUUUGACACUCCUAAAAGUACCUUUCAGUUCUUGUAGUCUUCUAUUCAGAAUAUUUGGCAAGGUUUUGAUGGAAUGAGAUUUCUGUUAAUAAUUCUGUACUGAAUCUUUAACUGUGUGGCUAUCAGAAUAUUUGGCAAGGUUUUCAUGGAAUGAGAUUUCUGUUUAUAAUUCUGUAUCAAAUCUUGUGUUGGAAGUUGCUUGGAAGUUGCAACCUGGUUGGAAGUUGCUUGGAAGUUGCUAUAUUUCUCUGUUUGUAAUGUUCUUUCAUUUCAUUGCUAUUGCUAUAUGUAAACCUUGGUGUUUUUGAUCAUUCACAGACGUACACCUUCAAUACUUGUUAACAAACAAGUAGAGGGAGUCGUGCAGAAAUUUCAAAAAUCUCUUGGUGCACUACAAUUUAUAAUGUGUUGGUACCACCUGGUAAGACACUAGAGUAGCAUAUAUAAUCCGUCUAUGGUUGAUAAGUAUCAUAUAUAAAGAACUGUAUCCUCUUAAGAAUCCUCAAUAAAUUAAGGAAGCUGUGGAGUAAAGCUGUUUUGACAACUAUUGUUGAUUUGUUGUUUCUUGAGACCAUGGAGCUUAACAUUUUCUGGUAAAGUUAAACUACGAGUCUUAUCUUAGGCGUGAUUCAAACAUCUCUAAAUUUUCUUUUAAAAUGGCCAUAACGUUAUGGAACCUGUAGAAAACAAUGAACACAUAAGCCAUAUUAAACGAAAGCAAUGAUAUUUCAAAUUGAAUGGUUGAACUUUUAAACUAACAAUCUCUGCUCCCCUUGUUUGUUCUGGUGAAGAGUCUUCCUAUUUGAAAUGUCUUAUUGCCUUAAAGAAAACAUAUAUGGUUGAACUUUUAAACUAACAAUCUCUGCUCUCCUUGUUUGUUCUGGUGAAGAGUCUUCCUAUUUGAAAUGUCUUAUUGCCUUAAAGAAAACAUAUUAUGCACCUAAUAGCUCCUACCCCUGCAAAAUUUUCUUUCUCUAUAAUUGCUUCAUCCCGCUAUGUUCAUGGACUUUUCCCUUUGAAUGUUUCUGUUCAAGGGUCUAGGCUCAUGUUCAUGUAGUGUUUGAUUGUAGGGGAUUUUAAUUUCUUUUGGAGGGGUUAGUGUCUCCAACUAACUCUGAUUGAGCCAAAAGUGAGUCAUGAUUAUAAGUGGGAACAACCAAAAUGUAACAAUCACUUUUGCAUCAUUUCCACAAAACCAGUCUUUUCCAUUGUUGAAGAACAUCAAUAGCAAUGAAAGUUCCACCAAGGUUGGUGAAUCUCUGGUUAGAAAGUGUAACAAACUUCACCAAGAAGCUAGUUAUUAAAUCAUUUCAGAUUAGGAAGACAACUACUCCUCCAGACUUGAAUGUGUUAUUAACUACUUGUUAUCAAGUAUGUAUCAACCACCAUACAAGAAGACUUAUUUUGAAGGAACAGAAAGAAACACAGAAUGAAACAAAAGAAAAAAAAGAAACACAAUGGUUAACUAAAACAUAAUACAAUUCCCACACUCAAUCAAGCUAAGACUGAAAAUUUCUAGGCCUUGGGUGCAAACUUGGCCUUGAUCUUCUUAAUCUCUUUAGUACCAACCUGGAAAGUACUGGUCAACACAUCAUCCUCCACCGGCGGCGAGGCGGCGAACAAUGUAAGGGCAAUGUUGGCGGUACCCUGCAGCUGAGAGUUGAACGCGGCGAUCACGGCAGCAGGGACCUUGCCAUUGUUCUUCUGGAAGUGAAUCAACCCCUUUGGAAACACAAACACUUCACCUUUGGCAAUGGUCUUUGAAAUGAGCUUGUUUGCUGUGGUAACGAACCCAACAUCCAACGAACCUUCAAGCACGAAGACUAUCUCGGUGGCGCGUGGGUGAGUGUGAGGUGGGUUGAUGCCUCCGGGAGCAUAGUCAAUUCUAGCCAUCGACACGCCGAGGGUGUUAAGACCUGGGAUCUUCUGCACAUUGGCUAAAGUCACCAAAGAGCCGAAGGUGUUGUUGGUGAGUCCUGGCUUGGCUAUUCCGGCAAAGAAGAAGUCCUCCGCUGUUGCAUUUGCCGCGUCCUUGCAAGCGAAACCAUUCAUUUUCGCCGCUGCUCAUUCAUCAUAUAAUCGUGUCAAAACUCAAAACUAGCUUCAAUCUUCAUUAAGAGACAAGCUAGAAGAAAUUAAUGAAAGGGUUUGUACCAGAAGCGAAGUCGGCGACGCAGAUAUCUUGAAGCAUGUCUGGAUCAGCAGCUGAGUUGCCGAAGACGAUGGCGAAAGUCAUCACUAACAGUGCCAACAUAGCCGCCAUGGUUGUGUUAGAUUUCAAAGAGAGAAACUUGGGAAUGUGGGAAAAGGUAGGAAUGAGUAGGAAGUGAUGGGCAAGGUUGAGUAUUUAUAGUGAAGGGUAGGGUAGUUGAACGUCGAUGGCAAAUAUAGUGACGACUGAAUCAAUGUUUUGGAUGUUAAGGUCGUGCUGUUGAGAAGUAAAGCAUGGAGCUUGCCAUUGUUUGUAGAGCUUAGACCAAAAGCUAAGUCAUCGAUCACUUUGCCUUGCCUCUCUGGUUUUUGGAGCGUUGACCCCAUUUGCGUCGCCUUGCGCGUCUAAAGGAUCUGACCCCUCUUGUUCUUAUCUUAAUUUCUUCUCUUUUUCUUUAGUAACAAGUGAUCGAAUUGUAGGGUGUCGAAUCUUGGCAACAACACUUGUCCAAUUCAAUUGGCUCUAUGCAUUGACAAAAUAUUUGUAAUAUGGUUUACGGUGGUGUCUAAGUUGAGUAAACGAAAUAAAGAAGAAAAGGGGGGAGAAUUAUUGAGAUUCCCUUAAAAAGAAAACAUGGAGGUAGGUUUAUUUCGUACGAGUUAGAUCAAGUGAAAUUUUCAUCUAGAAGAGGCAUAAGGUAAAGUUUCAUUGUUACUUGUGUCUUUUUACAAACACUGCAGAUAUCUGGUCCCGCAGGUAAAGAAUUUUUCUUUUUAUUAUCCAAGAAUGCAAAAUAGUUAGGUUUGAUUGUUGGAACACACUAUUGAUCGAGUAGUCAUUGAUAAAAAAAAGAAAUAAUUGAGAAGCUUGAACUCCUCAAUUACUUUUGAUGAGAACUUCUCAACAUAAUUUAGUCUAGCUUUUCCUAUUUGUGAUUAAUAGCCCGGUUGACAUGGUAUAGGUAUGAGAAUGAUCAUGUGGUUGUGUAUUCAUGCAAGUAAAUGUGUUGUGCGUUAUUUAUCGUGUUACAUCAUUCAAAGUAGGGUAUGAGCUACUUCAAUUUUAUAAUUGACCAUUUAUAAUCAACUCUCGAUGUAAAGGACUAGCUUCUGUUAUACAUAAUAGCACAAAUAAUUACAAUUUACCUAACUUUCCAUUAUUUCAUUAGAAUUUCUAUACGUCGAUCGAUCGACCAUAUUAGUUGCCCGGUUUGCGUUUGUUGUUGUUUUAUUUACCAGCUAAUAAGUAGUUAUAAUUAAAAACAUCUCAUGAUUAUAGUAAGGCCAGAAGUAUGAAGAUAGAUAUGGAUAUAUAUAUAUAUAUAUAUAUAUCUCACCAAUGAAAUAAAGACAACCAUUUAUUCAGCUCUCAAAGCAGCUGGUUCUAUGUAUUGUCCUGCAUGCAUGAAAUCUUAACACUAUUACACUAGUUAAUUAAGCUUGAUUAAGGAUAAGUUUCUUAAUAAACUUAUAUAUGCUAUAUAUAGACAAAAAUGCUGUUUAUAUAUAUAUAGCUCGAAUUUUUGCUAAGAGAGUGAGACAAAGGUUUUCCUUAUUGUUUGAUUUGGUUGGAGAAAUGUUAUAAUGUAUGGUUGCUAAGGUACGAUAAAUUGGAUGAUUGGCUCUAUACUCCAAACUAUAUGUCCUAUAGUUCGACUUCAUUUUGCAAACCAACCGAUCAUUCGCAUUUUCUUUUUGUUCGUACUCUGUCAUCUUUCGGAGGUUACUUCUACCAAUGUGGCUCUUCUGUUAUCUGUUUUGCAGUAGAGUCAUCAUUAUCGUACUCAUCAGCAACCAGCUCCUUAUUUAGUUGGAGGAUGCAUGGUCUCUAUCAUCAAUCAUGUUCUUUUAUAUCAAACUGCUACUUUCAAUAUAUUCUAAAGCAAAAAUUAUAAUCAAUGUAGGCUGCGAGUCUGUAACUGAUAUAAGCCUUGUCAACAUCUUAAUUAGGUAAGCUAAUCCGGAAAAGAGUAUAUGCCUUAAUUGUUUUAGAGAAUAUAUAUGUCCAAUUUAGACUUUAACCAGAUGUGGCGGGACGUCGUUUAAGCUCGACUUCCAGAAUACUAGCUUGUGAAGUUUACUUGUGAUUAUUAUUGAUUAACCGAGAUAAUAAAGAAUUUCCAUUAAGAAAAUCAGAUUUGUAUUCUGGUUUCUGCUUGGGUCAGUUGGGUGAUACACUGAUACUUCACUGUUUGUUAUGCUCUCUUCAACAUUUGGUAAUUAGUGAAUGUUAGAAUAUCUUGAGUUCAUUCAUCUGACCUCUAAUGGCAUUGACAUUCGAACAAUAACGUACUUGAAGUUUUUAUUCAAGUCAUGGAUCGAUCUCUGAUUGAAACUGAUUAAAAGAGUUGACUCUCCUACUCAUCCAAUUAUCCAAAUAAUAUGACUGGAUCAGGAUUAGGAUUGGAACCCUUCUUCCGGAGGAACACAGAUGCAUCAUUUUUAUGGAAAAUUCUGCUAUACCGAAUGGUAUAACAUCUCUUCAACCAACCGCCACCCCCUUUAGUUAGAUGUAUACGGUAUAGCAGACAAACCCAUUUUUAUAUGGAAAAGACAGAAUCUCAACACAUCUUCCGACUUCAUGUUCUACUUGUAUUUUAUUUUUUUAAUAUAAGAAUAAACUCAUGAACUAUAUAUCAAAAUAUUAAAGCAAUGGAAUUGAAUAUGUGCGAUUAGUACUUAAAAAGGAUAAUUUCCCUUAAGAUAAUAUAUUUUAGGUAGUACACUUAUAUAGAUAUUACGUUGUAGUACACAUGUCAAAAUGUUAGGUUCUUCCAUUUAGCAAUUUACACUAACUAGAUUGGCAAAUGGUCUAAUUCAAAUUGCUAAGAGUAGAAUUGGUCUCCUCAAAUCGGAAGCAAAUCUUCCUUUCUAUCUUUUCCUAAAAGGAAGAAGUAGCAGCUAGCUAAUUGAUCAUCAGAAUCUACUUCGAUCAAGAGCAAAAUUGUCCAACUCCAAUGCUAAUUCGAGCUCGCUCUUGAAAAUAUUUACGUGCCAGAGAUGAUAAAAUCACCUAGGCACUAGUUUUUAACUUCUUCAACUUCAUCAACUUUAUAAAUAGUAAGAGGGAUCGAUUUGUGUUUGCAUAGUCAACUUAGAGACUCAUGAAAGGAGAGGGAUCGAUUUGCCAAGAUUAACUGAAAUUGGAAAUCUGCUAGAUGCUUUUAAUGAUUGGCUGCAGUUGGGCGCAAACCUCAAACAAAGAAAAUAAAAUUUCCACAACCCACGUCAAUUUGCAAAACAAACACAAGUGAAAUAAAUAACGUACAAACAUGCAUAAAGAGAAGAAAUAAUUAAGCUAUAUAUAUCUACUACUUGGGUGCAAGCCUUGACUUGAUCUUCUCGAUCUGCUUGGUGCCAACUUGGAAUGUCUUAGUCAACACAUCAUCUGCCACUGGAGGUGUGGCGGCAAACAAGGUGAGGGCAAUGUUGGCGGUACCCUGCAACUGAGAGUUAAAUCCGGCGAUCACAGCAGCAGGGACCUUGCCAUUGUUCUUCUGGAAAUGAACCAACCCCUUUGGAAACACAAACACCUCACCUUUGGCAAUGGUCUUGGAAAUGAGCUUGUUUGCUGUGGUGAUGAACCCAACAUUCAGUGCACCUUCAAGAACAUAGACUAUUUCCGUGGCGCGUGGGUGAGUGUGAGGUGGGUUGAUGCCUCCGGGAGCAUAGUCAAUGCGAGCCAUCGACACGCCAAGAGUGUUAAGCCCUGGAAUCUUCUGCACAUUGGCUGCAGUCACCAAAGAGCCGAAGGUGUUGUUGGUGAGUCCUGGCUUGGCCAGUCCGGCGAAGAAGAAGUCCUCCGCUGUUGCAUUUGCCGCGUCCUUGCAAGCGAAACCAUUCAUUUUCGCCGCUGUUCAUUCGUCAGAGUUAGAUUUGGAUCAAACUUUUGAGCAUAAUUUGUAAUAAUCUUGUAGGAAGCAUAAUUUAGGAUUAUUAGUUAAUUAGCUACAAGUGUAUUAGCCAGUGGUGCAAAUGUGCAAUGUACUUCACUUUUGGCGCAAGAUAUAAAGCUUUAAGAACACCGGAAAAACAAAAAAAAAAAAACAAAAGUACCCGGCAAGAUAUAAAGAAAGAUAUAUCAAUCAUUUCACAAAUCAUCAGAGAUGGAAUUAGGAAAAAAGUUGCCAAGGGAAAGAAAGAAGAAGAAGAAGGUAAGAACGGGGUCAACUUCUAAUAGUUGGUAAAAAAGAAAAUGGGGUCAACUUGUGAUACGUACUGAAACACUGGGUAUAAAAAUGAAGAAGAGAAAGUUGAAAGGGCCGGGUGUUGUACCAGAAGUGAAGUCUGCAACACAGAUAUCUUGAAGCAUGUCUGGAUCAGCAGCAGAGUUGCCAACGACCACAGCAAAAGUCAUCACAAACAUUGCCAAGAUAGCUGCUGCCAUGGUUGCCUAUAUACUGCUGCAGUUGUGUAGGUAUUAGAAGUAGUAGAUCGUGGUAAAGAUAGUAAGAUGUGGAAACUGGAAAUGGGGUUUGAAAACUGUGUAUGAAUGAAUAGGCAGGGAUGGAUAUAUGGUCCGUAUUUAUAAGGGAGAGUAGUUCAAGUUGAUGGUAAUAAUAUUGUUGCUGUAAAUGUAAAGCAUUGCCAUGUUUAAGUGAAUUCUUAGAGCAGAAGGCAAGUCAAGUUGCCUGGCUUGCCUUGUCCAUCUCUCUUUAUUUUUGGGAAGCGUUAGACCCCGUUUGCGCGUCCACCGGAUCUGACCCACGCAGGUUUUUAUUUUCUCUUAUUCAUUUGGCAAGUUCUUUAGUACGUACGUUCUAUUUUUUUUGUUAACAAAUGAAUAUGAUUCUAGGUAUGAUUCUUUCCAACAAACUUGUCCAGUUCUAGGGCUUAUAUAUAUGUAUGCAUUCUGUACCCACCUGCCGUGUGUUCUUUCUUAACUUGUAUCAAUGGAGCUAGCCUCUUUUCUUUUAGUAGUUCUCAUUGUCAUCUUUUGGAGGUUGCAUCCUACCAUGGCCUUUCUCUCAUCUGUUACAUUGUUUUCCAGUGGUCGGAAUCAUAUAUAUCUGCAACCAGCUCCUGAAUAUACUGGUAAGAGGAGGCCAAGGUCCCCAUCUUCGAGGAAAAUUCUAUAAUGUGCUAAUGCAUGUGAAUGAUAUGAUGUAUCAACUGUGUAAAUUGAGUCCUCAAACUAGUAAUAUUAGUCCUCAAAGUUGUAAUAUUAGUCCUUAAAGUUGUAAAAUUUUCUAGUUACAACAUUAUUCAUCAUAUGUCCUUAAAAUGGUAAAAUGUGUUCUUAAAGUGGUAAUUGAGUAUUUUAAAUGAUUAAAAAAAUGUUGUUACAACUUUGAGAACUCAUAUUACAACUUUAAGGACUCAAUUACCACUUUAAAGACAAAUGAGGACUAAAGUUGUAACUAAUUUUUUUGACAACUUUAACCACUCAUAUUACAACUUUAAGGACUAAUAUUACUAUUUUGAGGACUCAUUUUACAACUUGAGGACAAAUUUGAUGCAUCACAUGCAUUAAUACAUCUUAGCCUUACCCUUCUUCGAGCCCUGUUGAAAAAUUAGUAAACCAUCUAAUUUGGAUUGCUAAAAAAUAGAAAAUUAUUGACACAUCAUUAAAAGUAUAUGCUUCACAUCCAAAGUUUGGCUAAUAUAACCUAAUAGCUAGCUAGCAGUUAGAAAAUAUAAAGGUUAAAUAAUGAACAGUCCUUAUGGUUUGAAGUCGAUACAUGUUCUGUCCUUAUGAUUUCAUUUUAAUCUGAAUGGUUCUUAAAGUCACGAUUUUUCUUCUAAAUGAUCAUUUCGUCACUUUCUCUGUUAGAUUGCUGACAUAACUGUUAAAAAUUGCAAUAUCUUUAACGGUCACGUCAGUAUUUUAACGGUGAAAGUUGACAGAAUGACAAUUUGGAAGGAAAUCAUGACUUUAAGAACCAUUCAGAUUAAAAUAAAAUCAUAAGAACUGAACGGAUGUCGACUUCAAACCACAUGAACUAAACAAAUUUUAAUUCAAAAUAUAAUAUUAUCAUUUUUUUUUAAAUGAACAAGGUCUUAUUGUCAUAUAUAUGGGGUUGAAUAAUAUAGGACAAAUACUCAUUUAGUACUAAUUUUGACCCUUUAUUGCUCAUUCCAAUGACAAUAUUUUUUAAAAGCUCAUUUAGAUGUAAGGAAAACAUUUUUGUGCCCAAAUGGACAAAUAUUUACUAAAGUCAUAACAGACCAUAUUAUUUUAAGAUUAUUUUUUCAUCAUCCCUUAAACAUGCAUAGAGAGAGAAGACUUUACCGGCCUCGCCGGACUCCGGUCAUCGGUCAUCGGACUUCGGUCGCCGGUAUGGUGACCUGAAUUACUGACCCCCAGUAAACAUGUUAUUGACCCCUAAUAAUAAAAUACUUACCCCAAUAAACAUCUUAUUAACCACUAAUAAUAAAUUAUUGACCCUAGUAAUCGUGUGACCCUCAAUAAAUGUUUUAUUGGGGGCAAUAAGUUACUACCCCUAAUAAAAAAAUUAUUAGAAGUGAAUAGAGAUGAAAUCUCAUCAAAACAACAUAAAAGAAGUUUACAGAAACUAAUAAACUUUUAUUAAGUGCAAAGAAAUUUUUACUACCCCUAGUAAAAUAUUUAUUGACCCCAAUAAUCUUACUUACCCCUAGUUAAAAAGAAAUUAACUAUAGCUUAACCACUGCCAUUCCUAAAACCUACGCUUCCUCAACAAAACGACGUUGUCCACCCAACGCUGGUGGCGGUGGUGGCACCUCGACUGUCGUCGAUGGAGAUUUCGAUCAAGUCCGGAACAGUUGCUCAACUACGAGCGCAUCUACCUUGCCUAUCCCCUCCACUCCGAUGUCUGCCGCAUCAUCUUCUUCGACUUCGACCUGAUCGUCAUCAACAAUGUGGCCAUGCUCUGCUGCAUCGACCAGUCGCAGAACCGCCACGCCAACUUCACCGUGAACCAGAUCGAGCCGGAGGUGAAGGAUUUGGCGACAUGGUGAUGGAGCUAAACUAGAUUGAGUCGGAGAUCGGCGCAAGUGAGACAUCAAUCACCGCCGGAGAUGAAGGCGUGGUGAUAGAGGUAAAGGCGUGGACUGCGUGAUGAUGGAGCCAUGGAGGUGAACCAGAUCGAGCCAUAGAGAGAGAGAGAGAGAGAGAGAGAGAGAGAGAGAGAGAGAGNGAGAGAGAGAGAGNNNNNNNNNNNNNNNNNNNNGAGAGAGAGAGAGAGGAGGUAGUUUAAUGAAAGUGAGGGUAAAUUUGUCAUUGUUUCAAGAUUAAUUGAAAUGGGCGUUUGGAUAUAAAUUUUUAUUCAAGUGGGCUUUAUUUUAAGGGAUUUUGUGCAUUUGGGCAUUUACCCGGCCCAUUAUAAGCGCAUCCAGCUAGGAGGUCUGAAAUCAAUGAACACAAAUUAAUAAUUAAUGUAUAAUGAUUGAAAGUAACAAAUUGGUCCAUAAUUUCAUUGAUUGGUCACUUACGAUAAGGAUAAGGUGUACGUUUUAAAUUUUUUGUCGAUAGAUAAUUAAGGUGCAUCAUUCAUGUGAAGUCCAAUAUUACUUAUUUUCAUGCGCUUGUUAGACAACUCAAGCUAGCUCGCUCUCCGCGAAGUUCAAGCUUGAGCUCAUCUCGGGUUUUUGUACAAUCUUUUAUCAACACCAUUUUUUCAUUUCUCUUUCUAGCCUUUGCAUAUUAAUGGUCGGGCAAAAGAAUAAGGUUACCGCUAAUGCUGGCAAACUUUAUUUUCAGAACAAGCGAAACUUACUUCAUGCAUACAACAUAGUUCAUACCGCUUACAUCGCUUGCAUUAUAGGCAGAGCAAAUGCAGGCUUAUUCUACAUAGAAACACAUUGUUAAGACAGCUCAAAGGAAGUCCAGGGCAUCAUCAUCAGUAGGAGCAUAUCCAACAAAUUAACAAUUGCCCUUUUAUUUAUCAAUGACAAGACCAUUUGGGGAAGAUCACAGCCAGCAACUAAGCUAACUUAGCCAGAUGGGGAGAUCGAGCUCUGCCUUCAGCUUCAGUCUUCUUACCGCAAUAGCACAAUGCUUCCUCGAUCGGAAAAGUACGUGUACAAAGUACACAUUCAUCACAUUUUUCUAUGCACUCGGGGUAUGGAAGAAAGCCCUCCCCCUGAUUUUGCAACUGGUUUGGCGACUACUUCCGGUUCUGCAGAUAAUUUUUCUGCAUAUGUACGUUAGUAACAAGAUUCUAAGAACCUAUAUAUAUACAUACAUAUAUGUGUGUGUAUGUGUGUGUGUGUGGGCGCGCGCACGCAGGCGGGCGACGCCAAGUAACAUAGGGAAAAUUUUACAGAGACAGAUACUCAAAGGAAGGAUACACUAGAUCACUUAUCAAGAUUUUAGAAUCAAUUCAUACAUGUCAUUGGUUGAUCGAUCCUUAUGCAUAUAUGGCAAAGCUUUGUAUCCUUAAUUUUUCCUGUACUAGUUAUCCCUGUUUGAUACGUUGAUUAGAUGUCUCCGAAUAGACGUCGGUAAUAAUAUUGUAUAGUUUAUGAGUUCACCAGCAGCCAGUUCUUCUCUUCUUCAACGAUUAUAAAUUUGAGGUACUUGUUUUUCUGGAUCCCUUAUAUCAAGAGCCAGAGUUCUAUUUCAUAUUGUUAGUAGUCCUCGUUGAUUUGAUGCAUGCUAGCUUUUUCUGCUGCAUCUGUGAAUUAUUCCAAAAGAACUGAAGUAUUUAUCCAUUUUCAAUUAUGAUAAAAACAUUUUUGUCAAUUAUCAUAUGUGUCAAGUAGAACAAUUAAUAUCGAUGCACUGCAAGUCUGCAACAAUAUUAUUUCAUGCAUGUUCUCUGAAAAUUAGUUAAAUUACCAGAUUUCUGGAGUUCUUCAUCAACUGGUUUCCACUUUGUGCAAAUGCACUCUGCAUACUGUGGAACACGCCUGUCGCAAACGCAACUGUUGCAGACACCGUCGCACAGUUGAUAUGGAAUUUUCUGACAUUCUGGUAAUUGAACAAUAACGUAUAUUACAGCAAUAAUAUAAGUCUGUUCUGAUAUAAUGUAACAACAUGAAAAAACAUAGACAAACAAUAAUAUGAACAUGUAAAUUUUUAUUGCUAGCUAAGUAGGUAUGGUUAAUUACGUACCAGUGUCUAGUUGGUUGUUAGAGGUAAGCAGCUGGGCAAAUAGGUCUAAGCGGGCAUGAACACUAGUUGCUGCCAAAGCCAUGGCGAGCAACACUAAGAAACUGACUCUCGACAUAUUUCUGAAACUCGUAGUGUAAUUCUCUCACUCAACUCUCAACUCGAUUGGUGUGUGAGAAAUGAAGAAGGCAGUGAGGUCUAUUUAUAGCUGAAAAUUUGUACAUAAUCGACUUCGAUCUUCUUUUAAUAUUAGAAACGUGCUUCUUCUGGAGAAAUGCCAUUGUUCAAUCAAGAUCCAUAAUCCACCAUGCCACCUCAUUGAAAAUUAAUUGUGGUUACUGGUCGUAUCUGAUUUAGAGCAAUAAUUUCAUGAUUCCUUGAUAUAUAUUAGAAGGGUACUAAUAAAUCUACGUGUAUACGUAUAAAUCCACAUAUCCCGAUCUUGCUCGUAAUGGUAAACAUUAGAAAGGUUUUUCCUCCCAUGAAGACAGAGGAGAUCGAAGUAGUACGGUGAAAGCUCGCCCAAAAUAUAUAUAUUUAUACUACAUUAGAAUGUAGUAGAACGUCUAAAACAUCCAAUCACAUACUAAACGUCAUCACUGUAUCUGCGAAGGAUUUUGGUUUCAACAAUAUCAUUGGGUUACAUACAGUGGCGGAAUUGAUCUUAUAUAAUGGGACACUCGAAACUUAAGAAAAUAAAAUAAUUAAACUUAUAAUAUAUAUCAUAAUAUGAAUGAAAAUAUAAAUUGAAAUAAGAAGCACAAAAACAAGCAAAGAAGCCAGCUACUUUGGGGCAAGGUGGGUCACAAAAACAAAUGAUUUUAUGUAACAGUUGGCGGGGAUAGUGAAAGCAUGAAAUCAAGAAAGCUAUAUAUAGAAUGGACUCAUAUACAAUUAUAGAUAGCAUCUCAUUAUUCUAUCUUUCAGGAACAUACACGAAAAAGGAUAAAAUGUGUAGAGAAAUUUUAUUAACACAUCUCUAAUUACUAGAUACAUAUCUCAUAGUUAAUACACUACCUUUUAACUUUAUUGUUUUAACAUCUUACUGAAUACACAUACCCAAAUUUCCUACAAUACCCUCAUUUAAAAUAAACAACUUAUUCACUAAAUACACAACUCAUUCACUAAAUACACAUCCUUUUACUAAAAAAAAUAAAAAUGCAAGUUUCACCUUGUUAGGAUCUUCAUCGAGGUAUUUCACUUUGUUAAGAUCUUCAUCGAGGGAUUUUACUUUGUUAACAUCUUCUCCUAUCGGUUUUUCUCAACAAAAUUUAUUCUCAAUGAGUCUCUUACUCAAACUCAUUUCAAGAAUUCAUGAGCGUAUCGAAUCAUAACAAAACAAGACAAUACAUCACCAAGGUAAAAAUAUUGAUACUCCAUUCAAGCUAAAAAUUAACAAGUGUUAGAAGUACAAUAACUAAUGUGCUAGUUUCAAACAAUUCAGUGAUCGCUAAGAUGUAUUGCAAUAAUUGCAUUGUCUUCGUCGGACAUUAUAACAUCAACAAAUGGAGUGGUUUGUUCAUCAUCAAGUACCAUAAUACUUGAGGAUGUAUUGACUACUCUUUCAGGAUGUGGCAACUGAGUAUAUUGCUGGAAACGGUCUUGAUAUCGAAGGUACAAACUCUUAGCUGCAUCGUCGGCAUGGUAUAUCCAAUUUGGUGGAACCGGGGGUAGUGGGUGUCCUGGCACAAAACAAAUCUGCAAAGAUAUAAGAAAUUUGAUUAGUUAUUUAAAAUUAUAUAUAGAUAUAUAUACACACACAUCUAUGUAAAUUAUUUAUACAAUCUAUAUAUAUAUAUAUAUAUAUAUAUCGGAGCACUCUCACUAGUGCGUCCUAAUUAUCUUUCUCAGGAUUGUGUGAGUAACGACUAAGUCUACUCACACUAUAUGCUAAAUUCGGUCGUGUACAAUUCAUUAUGUACAUCAAGCUUCCAAGAACUUGAGUAUACUCCAAUUGAGACACACUUUCUCCUUGAUUCUUCUUAAGGUGACUAGAGGGAUCAAAUGGAGUAACAACCGACCUAUCAUUAUAAUGUCCAAAUUUUCUAAGGACCUUCUCCACAUAAUGAGAUUGAGUAAGUAUGUAACCAUCUAAAUUCCUUUGAAUUCGAAUACCAAGAAUGACAUCUGCUACUCCCAUAUCUUUCAUAUCAAAAGAGGAGUGCAACAUUUUCUUGGUUUGAUUAAUUACAUCCAUAUUCGUUCCCAUAAUAAGCAUAUCAUCCACAUAUAAUAACACAUGCAUUUCUACAUUGUUUAACAUAAACACAUUUAUCACAUUCAUUUAUUUGAAAACCAUUUGAUAAAAGUGUAUUAUCAAAGUUCUCAUGUCAUUGCUUUGGAGCUUGCUUAAUGCCGUAAAGGACUUAACCAAUUUACACACCUUAUUCUCUUGACCUUUAACAACAAACCUUUCAGGUUGGUGCAUGUAAAUUUCUUCAUCUAAUUCACCAUUCAAGAAUGCGGUUUUCACAUCCAUUUGGUGUAUUUCUAAAUUGUGAAUAGCUGUUAUUGCCAUUAACGUCCUUAUAGACGUAAUUCUUGUCACUGGCGAAUAUGUGUCAAAGAAGUGUACACCUUCAUUUUGACGAUACCCUUUGGUUACUAUAUGAGCGCGCCUUGUAUUUCUCUAUGGAACCAUCAGGUCUUAAUUUCCUCUUGAAAAUCCAUUUAUGGCCUAUUGGUUUAUGUCCUGGAGGUAAAUCAACCAAUUUCCAUGUAUUAUUUUGCAUAAUGGAUUCUACUUCACUUUGAAUAUAUAGCCUCUUUCCAAUAAGGUGCUUUCGAUGAUUCCAUAGCAGCCUUAUAUGUUUGAGGUUCUUCUUCAAUAGCAAAGGUCAUAUAGUCAGGUCCAAAAUCUUUGGCUAUUUUUCCACGUUUACUUCUUCGUGGUUCUAGAGUUGCUUCUUGAACUGCAUAAGUAUUGUUUUCAUCAGUUUCGGUACUUUUGUUUAAUUCAUUUUGAGACAACGUAUCAUUAUACGUUCUUUUUCUUAGAUUAGAUUCCCAAUACCCAAUCUUUGACUUUUAUUAAAUAUAUAUAUAUAUAUUAAUAUAUAUAUUUAUUUAUAUUGGAAACCUAACAGAGAGCCCACCAAACCCAUAUUAGGCCUAUCAUCCAUUUAAUGAGUCACAUGGAUGUUUCUAUAUAAAAACUCACACAUUUAAUUCUUCUUCAAUGUGGGAUAAAUACCACACAAGUUCCAAUAUGGACGUCCUCUGUAGAACGGCAAACACACACACACACACACACACACACACACACACACACAUACACAGUCCCCUUCCAGAGUGGGAUCCCGUUUUGAAAUUAAAGUGCGGGACUCCUUAUUUCGCUCACUUUCAUGUCGUAUUUCCACAUCUCAACUGUACAAUGUCUAAAACACAGUGUGUAGAUCAUUCAUGCAAAGUUUCAUCAAAUUUAAAGAUCAUUUGGGGACUAUAUAUAUAUAUUUAUAUAUAUAGCGCUUCUCAACUGCGUUUUUCUGUUAUAAAAAUGAACGGUUCAAGUUCGACAGAAUUAUGUUCAUCCAUAGAAAAACACAGUUUAAGUGUCUUAAUGAUAACCAAAUUGGCUGAAAUUUUGCAGAGAUAAUUUAUACAUUAGUAUCUAAAUACUAGAUGGUGGAGAUGUGAAAAUUCGAUUGAAAAGUGAGUGUAAAGUGAAAAUCGGCACCGUAAGAAUAAAUACGGANNNNNNNNNNNNNNNNNNNNNNNNNNNNNNNNNNNNNNNNNNNNNNNNNNNNNNNNNNNNNNNNNNNNNNNNNNNNNNNNNNNNNNNNNNNNNNNNNNNNNNNNNNNNNNNNNNNNNNNNNNNNNNNNNNNNNNNNNNNNNNNNNNNNNNNNNNNNNNNNNNNNNNNNNNNNNNNNNNNNNNNNNNNNNNNNNNNNNNNNNNNNNNNNNNNNNNNNNNNNNNNNNNNNNNNNNNNNNNNNNNNNNNNNNNNNNNNNNNNNNNNNNNNNNNNNNNNNNNNNNNNNNNNNNNNNNNNNNNNNNNNNNNNNNNNNNNNNNNNNNNNNNNNNNNNNNNNNNNNNNNNNNNNNNNNNNNNNNNNNNNNNNNNNNNNNNNNNNNNNNNNNNNNNNNNNNNNNNNNNNNNNNNNNNNNNNNNNNNNNNNNNNNNNNNNNNNNNNNNNNNNNNNNNNNNNNNNNNNNNNNNNNNNNNNNNNNNNNNNNNNNNNNNNNNNNNNNNNNNNNNNNNNNNNNNNNNNNNNNNNNNNNNNNNNNNNNNNNNNNNNNNNNNNNNNNNNNNNNNNNNNNNNNNNNNNNNNNNNNNNNNNNNNNNNNNNNNNNNNNNNNNNNCUGAACGGAUGAGAUGUCAAAAUAUGAUCGAAAAAUGAGUUUUUUAAACCAUAAACCGAAAAGUCCUCAACUAGUCCUCAAUGUAAGAGUACGUCCUCACUAGAAGGGCUCCCAUCCCUAUAUUGCUCUAUGAAAUUAUUGACACACAUCAUUAAGAGUAUAUGCUUCACAUCCAAUGAUCUAAAGUUUGGCUGAUAGCUAGCUAGCUAAAGUAUUUAACAUUGAUUUGGAGUACAAUAGCUGGUUUUUAGUUCAAGAUAUAUUAUUGUAAAUUUGUAAUUAAGUUUGAUUAAUUUGUAUGAUCGAUCGGUAACUUAGUCUUUCUCUUGCAAAGGUUCGGUCAUAUUAUGUCUCCCCUGUAGCUGGUUCGAUAUUUUUUUCCUUCUUUUUCUAACAUUUGCAAUGGUCAGGCAAAUGCUAGAAUAAGGUUACCGCUAAUGCUGGUAAACUUCAUUUUCAUAACAAGCGAAACUGACAACAUGCAUACAACAUAAUUCAUACUGCUUACGUACAACGCUUGCAUAAAGGCAGAGCAAAUGCAAGCUUAUUCUAUAUAGAAACUAACAUAAGCCUUAAAACACAUUGUUAAUCAAGGCAGCUCAAAGGAAGUCCAGGGCAUCAUCAGUAGGAGUAAAUCCAACAAAUUAUAGCCCACUUAUUCAUCGACGAACUCGACCAUUUGGGGAAGAACAGCUAGCAACUAAGCUAGCUAUAUAGCUAGACGUCCGACCCUCUAACUAGAUGUAGAUGGGGAGUGCUCUGCUCUCAGCUUCAGUCUUCAUACCACAAUAGCACAAUGCUUUCUCGAUUGGAUAAGGACGUGUACAAAUUACACACUCAUCACAUUUCUCUAUGCAUUCGGGGUAUGGAAUAAAGCCUCCCACUGAUUUUGCAAUUGGUUUGGCGACUACGUCCAAUUUUGCAAGUAAUUUUUCUGCAUAUAUAUGUGCAUAUGUACGUUAGUAACACACUAACACAUAACUAACAAGAAUUUAGAACCAUUUCGUAUAUAUGCCAAGUUAUAAAGGAUAAAUAUGUUACAUACAUAAAUACUCAAACACAUGAUAAGAACACUAGAUGGAAUUGAAACUAGUUACCUGCAUAUUCGAUUGCUGGUCUCUUGGAGUUGGAAGCAGUCUUUUUACCACAAUAGCACAGGGCAGCCUCAAUUGGGAUAAAUUUUGGUAGCAAAUUACACACUCAUCACAUUUUUCAAUGCAUUCUGGAUAUGGGAUAAAGCCUCCCACUGAUUUUGAAACUGGUUUGGCGACUGCUUCCAGUUCUGUAGAUAAUUUUUCUGCAUGCGCGCAAAUGUUAGUAACAAAUAUCGAUAUUUUAGAACCAUUUCAUACAUAUAUGUCAAGUUAUAUAGGAAAAGUGUUGCAUAAAUAAAUACUCAAAGGAAUGACAAAUAAGAACACAAAAUCGGGUUAAAAGUGGUUACCUGCAUAUUCGAUUGCUGGUCUCUUGGAGUGGGAAGCAGUCUUUUUACCACAAUAGCACAGUGCAGCUUCAAUUGGAUAUAUGAAGGUGCAAAUUACACACUCGUCACAUUUUUCAAUGCAUUCUGGAUAUGGGAUAAAGCCUCCCACUGAUUUUGAAACUGGUUUGGUGACUGCUUCCAGUUCUGUAGAUAAUUUUUCUGCAUGCGUGCGUAUGUUAGUAACACCUAUAUAGAAAUUUAGAAUUAUUAACGAAGAAAGUAUAUAAUGAUUAUUGAUUCAUCUUGGUACGUAUUGGUUUUUCAACAGAAGAAUAUAUUGUUUGAGUUAAUUUCCGGGCACUGUAUAUAUAUAUGUUUGGCAUGAAAUACAACCUAUAUAUGUCCCUAUAUGUCCAUGUACUCGCCAGUUCGAUUAUAUAUCAAGAGCCACGUACUGUUCUAUCCCAUUUCUCAGUUCUCGUUGAUUUGGCGCAUGCGCUUUUGCUGCAUCUAUGUGUAUAAUUCCAAAAUGAAUAAAGGUGAUAUAUUGUCCUCUUUCGAAUUCAUAACAUUUUAUCAAUAAUUAUAUCUCAGCUACAACAAUCUAUAUGGAUGGAAGACAACAACAUUGUUUCAUAUUCUCUUAAAUUAGUUAACUUACCAGAAUAUUUCUGGAGUUCUUCACCAAAUGGUUUCCACUGUGCGCAAGUGCACUCUGCAAACUGUGGAGCACGCCUGUCGCAAACGCAACGGUCGCAGACACGGUCGCACAGUAGAAAUGGAAUUUUCUGACAUUCUGGUAAUUGAACAAUAACGUAUAUAUAUAAGUGAACCUAUUAUGUACACACCAGUAAUAUAAGUCUGUUCUGAUAUAAUUUAACAACAUGAAAAACAUAGACAAACAAUAAUAUAUAUGAACAUGUAAAUUUUUAUUGCUAGCUAAGUAGGUAUGGUUAAUUACCAGGAUAAGGUUCUAGUUGGUUGUUAGAGGUAAGCAGCUGGGAAAAUAGGUCUAAGCGGGCAUGAGCACUAGUUGCUGCCAAAGCCAUGGCAAGCAACACUAAGAAACUGACUCUCAACAUAUUUUUGAAACUCGUAGUGUUUUCUUACUCAACUCUCAACUCGAUCGGUGUGUGAGAAAUGAAGAAGGCAGUGAGGUCUAUUUAUAGCCGAAAAUUGUACCGACUUCGAUCGACCUUGUCUAAUUAGGAACGUGUUAAUUUCUUCUGUUUUCUUUUUUUCUUCUGGCGAGAUGCCAUUGUUCAAUCAAGAUGCACAAUUUGGACCACGAUAUAUGUUUGUUUUAGCAGCUUGUGGAUUAAAGAGAUCGGAGCCAUUGACAAGAAAACAAAGAUUCUUGGGGAUAAGUAUAUUAGUGGUCCAAUAUUACACCAUUAUCCAUACUCCAAUUUCCACAAAAUCUGACGUUGUUUAAGUGAAAGACUACUACCGGCCUUUACCCCAUGGUGAAUUUUAUUACGACCUUGAAAUGAUGGAACGGAGUGAUUUUUACAACCCAAACCAUUGAGUUUUUUCGUGGUCAUUCUUGAUUUUUCUCCUUGAUCUUUCUAGAUAUGGUUGGUUACUCGUUUAACAAAUCUUCCUAUAUAUUUUAUGGUGAGCUUAGAGCCUGUAUGUGUUCCUCAUUGAAAAUUUUAAGCAUUGGCAAUUUCCACAGACGUCAACUUAAUUGUUGACACGGUGGUUACUUGUGUUUCUGAUGUAGAGCUCGAACGUGAACAAUUACCUGCAAAAAAAAAUAAGGAAGAAGACCAAUCGCGGCAUCAAGAGCUAGCUAGCCCAGCAAGAGCAGUCACCAGUCACCACCGGUCCACCAUCUUUCAGAGAAUUUGUUUGUUUCUGUGCAUUAGACCAAUCGCGGCAUCAAGAGCUAGCCAGCAAGAGCAGUCAGUCAGUCACCAGUCACCACCAUCUUUCAGAGAAUUUGUUUGUUUCUGUGCAUUAUACCCACGUUUAUUCAUGCAUGCAUGCAUGAGGAUAGAUUUGGGUACACAAAAUCUCAGAAAUUUCACGGGCUCUAGAUAUAGUGAUAUGGAUAUAAGAUAUAAAACAAUCAACAAUAAUGUACAUCUGUUAAAUAUGCCACGAAUAAAAAAGGACGAAUUAACUUGUAGUAAUCGAAAGUGACAAAUUGGUCCCCGGCUGUGACGCGGCAGAUCUGAUCGGAACUAGUUUGCAGGUUUAGCCGGAUUUUGGUCGGCGGUAGUGAUAUGUCUUUGGUUGCGGCUGGCUGGGAUCAGGUUGUCCCGGUCUGAGUGAAAAGAAAGCGGCGGUUGGCUUGCUUUUGAGGGAGCUCGCGAUGGUGUAGAGGCGAGGUCGGCUGCCGGGGAAUUAACCGGUGUCGGAUUCUGGUUUGGGCCAAUUACAUAUAAGUCCACUUUGAGACAUUUUUUCCCACAUAAAUCCACCCAAACAUUUUUACCCACAUAAGUCCACCCAAGUCUAAAUAAAGUUUUGUAUUAAGUAUCAAAGUUCAACAUAAUUACAGACUGUCAUCCAACAAAAAAAAUUAGAUUUUCUCCUUUAUAUUUACAAGAAUGCCACUAGUAUAAAAAGUUAACAACCACUCUCAUUUCGGAACAGUUUCCGGCCGACCUCCGACGAUGACAAAAAUUACUACUACCAGCUAAAAAAGCUACUACCACCAGCUAUAAAAGCUACUACCACCGCUUACAAAAGCUACUACAAAAGUUUCCGGCCGACCUCCGGCGAGAUUUCCGACCGACCUCCGGCGAGGUUUCCGGCCGACCUCCGACGAUGACAAAAAAUUACUACUACAAGNNNNNNNNNNNNNNNNNNNNNNNNNNNNNNNNNNNNNNNNNNNNNNNNNNNNNNNNNNNNNNNNNNNNNNNNNNNNNNNNNNNNNNNNNNNNNNNNNNNNNNNNNNNNNNNNNNNNNNNNNNNNNNNNNNNNNNNNNNNNNNNNNNNNNNNNNNNNNNNNNNNNNNNNNNNNNNNNNNNNNNNNNNNNNNNNNNNNNNNNNNNNNNNNNNNNNNNNNNNNNNNNNNNNNNNNNNNNNNNNNNNNNNNNNNNNNNNNNNNNNNNNNNNNNNNNNNNNNNNNNNNNNNNNNNNNNNNNNNNNNNNNNNNNNNNNNNNNNNNNNNNNNNNNNNNNNNNNNNNNNNNNNNNNNNNNNNNNNNNNNNNNNNNNNNNNNNNNNNNNNNNNNNNNNNNNNNNNNNNNNNNNNNNNNNNNNNNNNNNNNNNNNNNNNNNNNNNNNNNNNNNNNNNNNNNNNNNNNNNNNNNNNNNNNNNNNNNNNNNNNNNNNNNNNNNNNNNNNNNNNNNNNNNNNNNNNNNNNNNNNNNNNNNNNNNNNNNNNNNNNNNNNNNNNNNNNNNNNNNNNNNNNNNNNNNNNNNNNNNNNNNNNNNNNNNNNNNNNNNNNNNNNNNNNNNNNNNNNNNNNNNNNNNNNNNNNNNNNNNNNNNNNNNNNNNNNNNNNNNNNNNNNNNNNNNNNNNNNNNNNNNNNNNNNNNNNNNNNNNNNNNNNNNNNNNNNNNNNNNNNNNNNNNNNNNNNNNNNNNNNNNNNNNNNNNNNNNNNNNNNNNNNNNNNNNNNNNNNNNNNNNNNNNNNNNNNNNNNNNNNNNNNNNNNNNNNNNNNNNNNNNNNNNNNNNNNNNNNNNNNNNNNNNNNNNNNNNNNNNNNNNNNNNNNNNNNNNNNNNNNNNNNNNNNNNNNNNNNNNNNNNNNNNNNNNNNNNAGAGAGAGAGAGAGAGAAUUGGUGUAAAGGAGAGGAGGGCAUUUUAGGUACAUCGUAAAAGUAAAAUAACAGAUUUAGCCUUAAAAGUGGACUUAUAUGAGUAAAACUGUUAUGGUGGACUUAUGUAGGAGAAAAUGUUCAGAAUGUGACUUAUAUGAAAUUUUCUAUUCUGGUUUUGGCCGAAAUGAGAGAUUAGCUAUUUGGGUCAAUAAUCUAUUUGGGCUGCUUUUGUGGUCAGGAUGGAUUAGCUCAUUAUUCUUUUUUUUCUUUUCUCAGUUUUGGCAUCUCAAUUUUAAUUUCCGCUAUUUUAUUCUUAAUAAUUCUAGUUGUACACUAAUUGUGGUCUCUAGAUGAUUAGACUUACUUUCAUUGAGAGUUAGAUAGGGCCUUUAGAAUUCGAGUGUGUAGGCACAAUAAUUGAGCUUACAUGCAUGUAGUGAGGGUUACCUGACAGUUUAUUUAAUUUGGGUUGAUUAAGUAUUUGGCGCAAGACGUUGGUUGAUGUAAGUGUCUUUUGAUCGUAGAUAAAUAGCGAAAUUAUAUAUUUUUUAUUCAAACAAAUACAAAUUGGUCCCCCCGGUCGUUUUAUAGAUCGGCAUCAUUUUGUACAUGCAUGUU